rnacentral:lncRNA from 1 species
AUUUUACACUGUUGGCGACAAUGUAAUCACUGAAGAUGAAAUCAAGGCUCUCAUUAAAGGGAGUGAGGGAGUUUACAAGCCUGUUGAAGCUUACCUCUUGGCUAAUCCCGAAGCCUGCAACUAAGAUAUAGAUUGCUUUGAAUUCUCAUGCUGCUUUUAAAGAGUGGCCAUUACUUUCAAUGGUGUGUUUUUUAUAUUUUCUCUUUCCACUUAAAACUUAAACUUUCUUAUGAUUAUUUUAAUAAGAGCGGUGGUGGUGAUCGAGCUUUGAUCAUCUUUAUUUUCAUUACUAUCAAAUAAUUUGGGUUGUAUCAUCUUUGACAUAUACUGAAAUAAAAUAAACACCAAUUCACAAACAAAAAAGGUUUUACCUAGUAUAUUGAUGAGUUAAAAUUUAUAAGACUAAUGCACGUAUUGAUGAAAAAAUAAAGUGAUAAAUAGAUAUUAUGCCUACAAGGAUCCAAUUUUAAAUUACUUAGUAGUAACUAUUUAAGUUUUAUUCAAUCCAAAACAAUAAAAUAAAAUUUAAUUAUUAUUAAAAUUAAACUAAGUUGAUUAAGAAGGCUUUAUUAAACUAAAACAAAGAAAAUUUAUAUAUGUUAAAUCCUAUAUGGAAGAAUUAAAUGUUCAUUCACCUCCUUAUAUUCUAUAUUCUAAAAAAAAUUUUGUGUUUGGACAAUUGAGUUACUUAUUUUACAAGGGCAUUAUUGUCAAUAUAGGAGGAUGUGAGUUCGAAUGUGCUGAAGCGCAUUAUCCUCCUAUUAAUAAGUUAGAGAGGGAUUAUAAAUAAUUUUAAAUAUUAUUUUUAAAAGAGCAUAUAUAAUUAAAACAUAUAAAGAGAUUGUAAAAAAGGAAAAAAAAAAAACCUUGUGCGUUUCUUGCUUACCACGAUGGGAAUAGACAAACUAACUAGUUUGGUUGCCUUAGAGAUUGAUCUUAAUUAUUAUCCUUAGUACAAUAAUUUGACAGUAAUUUUAUUAUAUUCUAUUUUCUUUAUCAUAGGGAAUUAUAACCUGUAAAAAAAUUUAAUAAAAUGAACAUGAAUUACUUCAAUUCAUAGUGUUGUAAAUCAUCUCCCCUUUCUAACGUUUGUAUUGGGAGAGCAGGUUAACCAAAACUCCUGAGCCCUACAAAAGGAACGAAGGCAUUAAAAAAACACCCAUAAAUCCUCAUGGAAUCAUUAUAUUAUCUUUGAGAGAUGCUUCAAGGUUGGAUAUUUAAACUUGUAACUAGUAUAUCAAUCACUGAUAAUUAUAGUAAAUUACUCUACUAUUUUCCGUUUUCCACAUAUAUGUGGAAGGCAAUUUCAGAUGAGGAGAUAAAAAAAAGCUUUGUUUGACAUGACUCCUUUGAAAGCUCCUGGGAGCGAUGGUUUUCAUGCUUUGUUUUUCUGAGUCAGUGGAAUGUUGUGGAAUUGCUGUCUGUGAGUGGGUUAAAAGGGUAUUUAAUGGUGGGUCAAUUGAACCAGAUUUGAAUAACACAGUCAUUGUCCUCAUUCCUAAGAUUGCGCAUCUGGAAAGUUUCCAAUAGUUUAGGCCUAUCAGUUUGUGUUCAAUCUUGUACAAGCUAGUCAUGAAAGUCAUUACUAAUCGAUUUAGGUGCAUCUUCCCUAAAUUAAUUGCGCAAGAGCAGACGAGUUUUAUUGCAAAGAGGAAUAUUAUGAAUAAUAUCCUCAUUGCACAGGAAGUCAUUCAUUCCAUGAGAGGGAAACGCCACUAGAAGUCUUGAAUGGCUGUUAAAAUUGUUCUAGAAAAAGCAUAUGAUCGAGUGCGGUGAGAUUUUACCGAGGCUUUGCUAAGACCUGUAGAUAUUCUGGUUUUUUUAUAAAGGUCAUUAUGGAUGGAAUAUCAGGUUCUCCGUGCAAGUUCUUUGGAAUGAGAUUCCAGCAUAGAAAUUUAAGCCGACGAGAGGGAUCUGUUAGGGCUAACUUUUAUCUCUGUAUUUGUUUGUUCUAUGUAUGGAAUGGCUUGGGUAUAGUUUUAGUUUGGCUAUUUCUAAUGGUCAGUGGCAUCCAAUUAGAUUGUCUAGAGCUGGGCCGGAUUUAUCACAUCUAUUCUUUGUUGAUGAUCAGGUAAUUUUUACCAGAGUUGACUUGGGUCAUUCACUACUCCUAAAGGAGAUUUUGGAUAAUUUCUACAAUAUCUCUGGUCAUUGUGUUAAGGCUCGGAAGACUAAUAUUUUUUUCUCAAAAGGGAUUAACAAGGUGGUGGGUAGUGGAAUUAGUAGUUUGCUUGGUUUCCAAAAAGUGGAUAAUCCCGGUUCGUAUUUGGGUGUUCCUAUUUUUUAAGAAAGGGUCACCAAAAGUACUCUUAGAUUUGUGGUGGAUAAGGUUCAAAGUAAGUUGUAUAAUUGGGACGCCAGGAAGUUAUCUUUAGCUCGGACAGAUACUUUAGCACAAUAUGUACUUUUAUCCAUUGCAAAAUAUUUCAUGUAGUCUUUAAUGAUUCUAACGUUCCGUUUAUUUCUUUGAAAAUGGCUUUCGGAAAAUGAUUUUUAGAAAAUGACUUAUUUUUCUGGAAAAGCUAAUAUUUUCUGGUGUUUGGAUGAAUUUGUGUAAAAUAUUUUCUUUUGUUUGGCAAGUUCUUUAAAAAUAUUUCAUAAAAGUCGUUCUCAAUUAAACAAACAUACAUUUGAGAUUUUUUUUUUCAUUGUUUAAUUGAGUUUAUUUUAUAUCUAUAAUUUUAUAUUUUACAUUGUUUUUACAUAUAUUAAAAAUAUUUUGUUAAAUUUAUGUUCAUUGCAAUGAUCCUUUUUUAGUUACAUGACUACCAACUGAGCAUUUUUUUAUUUAAAAAUGUGACAUUAACAAAAUUGACAAAAAAAUCAACAAUGUUAGCAGUUGGACUUGAUUUUCUAAUCUAGAAAGUAGAGGGGCUAAAUUCUUUAAAAUAAAAGUACAUAAACUAAAUUGCAAAUUUGUAAAGAGUAUAUAGACUUAUGACAUAUUUUAACAUUUAUACUACAAAACAUUUAUUAUUAAUAUAUUUAUAAUUGUAAUAAAUAUUUAGUAUUAAAAUAUUAAUAUUGAUAUUUUCAAUAAUAUGUGAAUAAUAUUAUUUAAAAUUAUUAUUUUUAAAAACUACUAUUAAAAUAAAAUUUAAAUAUUAAAUAAUUUAUUAAAAAUAAUAAAUUAUGUUAAUUAUAUUAAUAAUUUAUUAUAUGACUAAAUAUAAAUAAUUAAAUACGUAUGUUUAAUAAUAUUAAAAAAUAUAAUAUUUUAUAUUAAUAUUUUAAAUAUUUUUAAAAAUAAAAAUAAAAAUAAAAUUUAUUAUCAGUAUAAUAAUAUUAAACUUGAUUUAAUUUAAUUUUUAUAUAAAAGUAAAAUUAUCUAUUGAGGAGCUCGUUUCCGAAAAAUGACCUUUUCAAAAGGGUGAGUCAUUUUACAAGGAAAAAGGCUUAUUUUUCGUUGACCUGUAUGUCAUUUUCUGUUGGCCAAGCUAUUUUCUGUGAAACAAACACAGGAAAAUGCAGAAAAUUUUUUCCGUAAAACCUUUUACAUGUAAACAAACGAACCCUAAAUGAGUAUGUGAUGAGAUUGAGCGCUUGGUCAGAUAGUUUAUUUGGGGUUGGUCGAGUGGGAACAAGAAGUUGACGUUAGUUAGUUGGGAUUCAGUCUAUCAGCCUCGUUCUUGUGGAAGACUUGGGUUUCAUCAUUUGGAGGAUCAGAACAAGUCAUUUUUGUUGAAAUUGAAGUUUAAUUUGGUUUUGAACGACAAUGCUUUAUGGGUUAGGAUUCUCAUUUCGAAGUAUGGUAUGAAGGAGAGGUUGCCAGAGAGCAUUUUGAGAAGUUCAAGUUUGUUCCUUUGGAGGGCUCUAUCCAAGGUUUGGUCUUUGCUUAAAGAUAAUCUAGUAUGGUCCAUGGGAGAUGGAAUGAAGGUCGAUUUGUUAUUGGAAAGAUCAUUGGAUUGCGAGUGUAGGACCUUUGAUGCGGCUAAUCCCUUCGCAUGCUAACUUGGAUCCUGACUAUAUGCUUAACGUGACGGUAACGGUGGAUGAGGUGUGAAAUAUUGAUUUAUUUCGAGUGUGGCUGUUUCAAGACAUUGUUCGGUGUAUAGUCAGUAUUUCGACACCCCAUUCUUCAGCGGGUCCGAACAGGAUUGCUAGGAGCCAUCAACCUAUUGGAUCUUUUUUUGUUAAAAGGGCGUAUCACAUGAUUCAGGAGAAUUUUAGGAGGCCUAGAUAUGAGACUUGUAAGAGAGCAUGGAAAUUUUAAGGGGCGCAAAGAGUUCGUUUCUUUAUGUGGCUUACUUUAAAGCAAAGAUUGCUCACAAGUAUGGAAUGUGUUAGGAGAAGAAUUGGUCAGGAUCCUUCUUUCCCAGUUUGCGGCCAUGCCUCUGAAGACCUUCUUCAUGUCCUUAGAGAUUGCUCUAUGGUGAAACAUGUAUGGCUGAGCGUAGUGCCUGUAAAUCAGAGUGAUAACUUUUUCUCUGUUAACAACUUUGCAGACUAUUUAGUUUCUAACUUAUCCUCACGUUUAAAGGUACACUCUGAGGAAGUUUUUUGGUCUUGCUUAUUUGGUUUAAUAUCAUGGUGUCUUUGGAAGAACAAGAAGUUAUUCAUUUUAUAGUGUUUGACUUGGAAUGCUUAAGAGAUAAUUAAAGUUUCAGUAUGUUGGGCUCAACAAUUUUUAAAUGUUCAUUUGACUAUGAUGUUUAGUAGGUGCAUUGGAGCUCUGGUUUAAUCUUUGUUGAAUCUUUGUGUUUUUCUAUAUACUGAUGGGGCAAUGAAUGUGAGUACAAGAUGCACAUCUGCUGGUGGUGUAGUGAGAGAUCAGUUUGGUGAUUGGAUUGUCAGGUUCAAUCAUAAUUUAAGUGUUUGUCUAGUCUUUGAUGCUGAACUCUUGAGUAUUUGGGAUGUUUUACUAUUGUUAUAAGAAAAGGGGUAUGUUAAAGCCUUAAUUCUGGAAAAUUGCUUGGAGGCAGUCAAUGCUAUUCAAGAUGACUAUUUGGGGUAUCAAUUUAGGCCUUGGUUUGAUGAAUUAAGCAGAUUUUAUAGUACAAGGAGCAUUGGACAGCUAGGCAUGUCUCUAGGGAGAGAAAUCAAGUUGCUAAUCGUUUAGUUAAAAUGUUUUCUGUUUAAAUUGAUGGUAUGCAUAGAUUAAUAGGCACGCUUAGGGAGUUAAUUGAUCUCCUUAAACAUGAUAAAGUUGCUAGUGCUUUUGUUCAUUUAGUUUGAUCUUGUUAUAUCUUUUUAUUAAAAAAAUCUCUAACUAACACGAUUUAUUUUGAAUUUAAUAAAAAUAAUUUCUUAAAAUAAUAAUUUUAGACAAUUUUUAAUCAAUGCUUAUAAAAACCGUCAGCACAUCAAAUUAAUUGAACCAUAAGUCUCUGUCAGCACAAUUCAUUAUUCCCUCUAUAUAUUUAAAUAAGCAUUAUUGAAAACAAUAAAUUAAGCAAAUAAGUAGAUAAGUAGAAGACAAACUGAUACAAUAUUUGAACUCACCAAUUUGCGAUUUAAUAAGAAAGUUCUGGCUGCCUAUUUUGACUAGUACCAAUUCAAUGAAAAUUAAUAACAAUGUUGGAUAUAAAUCCAAUUAAAAAAUGAGAAUAAUAAUUUUUUACGCUUCAAGUUCAGUGUAUAAAUAGCAUCCUAGUUCUCUAUCAUCUCACACCUCAACCACUCAAUCAUCCACUUCUUCUCUUCUUUGAACUCAAAGUCCCAGUUAAUAUUAGAAUCAUGGGUGUUGUCACUUAUGACUAUGAGUCUACCUCCCCAGUCGCCCCUUCCAGGCUUUUCAAGGCCUUUACUGUUGAAGCUCCGAAAGUUUGGCCCACGGCUGCACCUAAUGCAGUCAAGAGUAUUGAGGUUGAAGCUAAUCCUAGCUCUGGAAGUAUCGUAAAAAUCAACUUUGUUGAAGGUUAGUUCUUUCAUUGGCCUUUUUGUAGUCUGUUUUACACGAGUAUGUUGGAUAACAAGUAUUUAUUUGUUUAGGCCUUCCAUUCCAAUAUAUGAAGCACCAGAUAGGAGGACAUGAUGAAAGUAAUUUUUCAUACAGUUACGAUUUAAUCGAAGGUGGGCCUUUGGGGGACAAACUUGAAAAAAUCAGCUAUGAGAACAAGUUUGAGGCAGCUGCAGGUGGAGGAAGUAUUUGCAAGAGCUCAAUGAAAUUCUACACUGUUGGCGACAAUGUAAUCACUGAAGAUGAAAUCAAGGCUCUCAUUAAGGGAAGUGAGGGAGUUUACAAGCCUGUUGAAGCUUAUCUAUUGGCUAAUCCUGAAUCCUGCAACUAGGAUAUUGGUUGCUUUGAAUUCUGAUUCUUGGUUUUAAAGAGUGGUCAUUGCUUUUAAUGGUGUGUUUUUUAUAUUUUCUUUUUCCUUUUAAAACCUAAAUUGUCUUCUAAUUAUUUACAUAAGAGUGGUGGUGAUCGAGCUUUUGUCAUCUUUAUUUUCAUUACAGUCAAAGAAUUUGGGUUGUCUUUGACAUAUAUAGAAAUAAAAUAAACAAAUAAACUCAAAAAAAGAAAAAAAAAGGUUUUACCUGGUAUAUUGAUGAGUGAAAAUUCACAAUCCAUAUUAGAGAUGUGCAUUCGGUGGUUGGAACGAUUUGAUUAUUUUAUAACAAUAAUCGAAUAAAUAAAAAUUUUUACUGCAAUUGAAUUAAUCGAACCAAACUUAAAAAGGUAAAAAUGAAACAACCGAACUGAAUUUAGUCAAUUCGAUUAGAUUUAGUUAAUCGAUUUUUGCUUUUUUUGGUUUUUAACUUAGUUGAACUCCACCGAUCCAAAAAUUCUUCACUGUUCGUGUCGGCAUGUUUGUUCCUCACAGAAUGGGAGCAAACAGUAGCCGCCUUACCUUUUGCUAUAAAAAGGAUUUUAGCCUUUGCUUUCAAAAUCAUCCCAAUCUCUCCAAGAAAGUGUGUAUACUUUAGUAUACAUUUGGGUAAUUCCUUUAAUUAAGGAUUUCAUUAGUUUGUAAUCUUUUUAGUAUUAGUGAAGUUAUCAUUAGAUAUUGGAUUUUGAGGAUGUAGAUAAUUUGUUGAAUUUCAUAAAUUUGGUGUGCUCUUAUCUAUUAUCUUAUUUAUAUUUAUUGAUUUUUUCUAUCGUAUUUGAUAUUCAAUAGUAACUUGUCGGGUUAAUCUAUAAUGUUUAGGAGGUGAGAAAAAGUCGAUAGAAAUCGAUCGAACCAACCAAAAUUCAUUUUUCUAAAUUAGUUUAGUUGGUUUCGAGUUUAACUCGGUUACAUUAGGUGAUUAACUCAAGGUAAUGUCGGCUCGAUUUCAGUUUUGAAAUUCAAAAUUAUUUUAAUCAAUGACACUGACUUUACAUAUAAAAAUAUAAUAUAUUUAAUUAUACCCAAACCCAAUAUGCCAUUUACCAUAUCUCAAUCAAGCCAAAAUUAAAUCCAAAAUUUCAAAUACCCAAACCCAAUAAAAAUAAAAUAAUAAUUUAAAAUUAAAAAUUUAAUAAAAACUAAAAAUGUAAUAAUAAUUAAAAAACAUUAAACAAAAAAAAACUAAAAUUCUAACUUUCUAACCCUAAAACCUAAUUUCCCAAAACCAAAAAAGAAAAAUCUUACCUUUGUUGUAGCCCACAGUCAUUCCCCUGACCCUGUGUUUCACCUUUGUAACGAUCCAAAUUUCAGUGGUGUAAGAAAAUACGAUUUUAAAAUCUCAUUUUCGUAAACUGGGUCCGUAAGGGCAAAAAAUAAAAAUUUAGGAAGUUAGUAUGAAAAUAGAUUGAAACUUUGUUAAGUAAUUUAAUUGAUAAAUUGGUUAAUUAAAGUUCAAUGACUAAAUUGUAAAAGUUCAAUUGAUAUUGAGUUUGUAACACCCCAUACCCGACCCGAUCGUCGGAUCUGAACUAUAAGGUGCUACACUUCAUUAACUAUUACCUAAAAUGCUCCUUUUUAGCAAUACAAUAACUCAAAUUUAUAAUGCUAACUCUUACAUACAAAUCUUUAAUUUAGUACUCUUCGGAUGCUGAGUGAAGACAAAUAGACAUUUGCAACCUAGAUAAAUAAGGGAUUUACUACCAUGUUAAGACACAUAAGGAACAAUUUCACUGGAAGUUCCAUUAUAUUGAACUAAUUUAGUGACUUGAAAAUUUGAAAUCGAUUUUUAGUCUUGGUUACAACUUGACUCAGACCCUAAGACUCCGCCUUGGGUCGCCUCGUUGUAUGCACAUUGCUACGACCACAAAAUAAGUUGCCUGAUCUUGGUAAAUUCUGGCUUGGUCACUUAUUGAUUUCUAGAAACAACUACUAAACCUACAAUUCAUAGAAACACAACUGUAAUUUCGAUUGAACCUAGUGAGUGGUCCAUACCUGGCAUCAGCAUAGCACAAAUGAACUACUAUUUCAACAUUUGGAAACCACAUGACUUUCCUUGUGAAGAACACAUCCAUCAAAUCAUGUUGGUGUGGACUUGACUGUGUAACGUUUCAUUGAUGAGAUCUUAGCGAUGUAUGAUAAAGAAUACCCAGAUAGAAACGUUAGUAUGUUGGCAAGUAAUUCCGCAAAUCCUUUCUUUAAUGAUUUUCCUUAAGGACCUUUUCGUAGUUCUUCAAAAAAUACUUUCUACGAAUUCUCACUUGUGUACUCAAGAAAGAUACUCAUGCAUCUAUCUUGUGUUAUAACUAAGUUGAAGAAUAGAUCAUAAAGAAUGCCUUCCACUAUGAACCAUUAUUAGUGCUUGAUCUAACGGCCUCUAGUAGGUGGAUCUACUUUCAACUACAUAGUCAGAUACCAAUGUUUCAAACAGUAUCUUGAACACAAUACUUACUUAGAUAAACAAUUCCUUCAUUUUGGAAGUAUAGGAAAAUACCCUUGUAUCAUCCCCCAAAGAACCUGGCGAACUGUUAUAUAUAUAAUAUGAAUUCCAUACAAUUUGCUUGUAUUGUAGGUUCAAGCAUAGAAUGUGCUACUAGCACGCAGAUUCAUUCUUGGCGUACCUAUAAAAUUAUAUUCGAAUCCCCGAAUGAACCUGCAAGCUCUCACCAAAGUGAAUUCCAUAACUACUGUAGAUGCAAAACUAUAAGGAUAAGUCAAAAAACAGUCAUAACUUGUAUCAGACUCACUUUAUUUGCUAGCACAGGCACAAUGGCCUUCUCAUAAUAGUAGAUCACCUUUUUUUGGACUCAUACAAAAGACAUAGUGUAAAAUCAUAUUUACAAGAUAGUUCCUUAUAUUACAUAGUCCUCACGAACUUUCAUAAAAGAUAGUCCGUAUAGACUUCCAGAAAAGAUAGUCUUGGAUGACUUUCCAUAUAUUAGAUAGUCCUCACGGGCUUCUACAUAUACAGUAUUGUCAUGGCCAUGGUCUUCCAUACUUCCCAUAAAGGGCUCUCAAAUGUCCCACACAAGGGGCUCUCAUAUACUGGUGCACACUAUUCUUCGUACCAUUUAAAAACUCCAUUCUUGGCUCAAUCCAAUCGAACCUCCCUCAAAGCCACCUAAAUAGUAUGCAUCACAUACACGAACCCUCAACCAAUAAUUACUAUUUAUCACACACCAGUCAUUUUAUUGAUUCAUCAUAAGCAUACUUACUACCAAUCAAUCAUAUCAAUUCAAUAUGCAACAAUGCAUCAUACCAAACCUUUCAUUUACUUAACAUAGUUAACUCACAAUCAUUUGCGGAAUUGCAUACCGUAACACAUACAAUCACCAUACAUCAUUAAUUCCUCAUAACAUAAUCAUAAUUUGUAAGCUCAUCACACACUGCAUGCAACAAGACACCUCUACUUACAGUCAUAGAAUGACUUGUCAUUUACAUAACACUAAAUUAGCCUUUUUUAGCACACAAUAUUUAAAAAGGAACAUCCAUUUAAGAUCUGAGUACUGGGACUUACUUGGAAGUUAUCGCCAAAUCCAUCUUUUAAGUCUUUUCCCCUUGUUACACUAGCCUCCUUAGUCAAUACAACACAACAACCAUUUCAGAAUCCAAUAAAACCAUUCAUUAUCAUAAAAACUCUAAUUUUUUUGCAUGCAGAGACCAUUUAAAUGAUUAUUCGUCUCUUUACCCAAAACAAAACAAAAAGAAUAGUCAACUUAAAUCCUUAACUUCCUUCUUUUCUUAAACCCGCUAAUGUAGAGAGAUUAGAAAACUUACCAGCAUGCAAAAUUUCCAAUUUCUAAAACUUAAUCCUCAGUCUCUCCCCUUUGUACACGAACGUUCCUUAAUCUUUCUCUCUUCUAUGGCAAACCAGAGAAAAUAAGAAAAACAAAGAAAAUAAAAGAACAUCCACAGAUAAAAAUGCCCCUCCUAUAUAUCAGACUGAGGGUGGAGUGUUGCAUACUUCAUGGCAAUAAAACUAUUAUAGAGCUUUCUAGAAGUUUAAGUUGACAAGGUUCCCCAAUCUAUGAACACAAAGGCUAAUUUUUUGUCUCGAGUUGCAUCUAUUGUGGGAUUCCAGGAAAGGGAUAAAAUCUUACUAGAGCAUAAAAAAAGUCCCCAUUUCACAUUCAGUAGGACAAGUUUUCAACAUAGACUUUGGAAAUACAUGGAUAACACCAUUAGUGGAAUUCUUAUCCAGUGAUUCAAGACCUUUGAUCCUAAGGAACUUGAUUGCAUUUCUUUCCUAGCCUCUUAGUGCACACUUAUUGAUGUAGUCCUCUAUAAUAAAGCUUUCCUCCAUCCGCUUUUGAGUUGCCGAUGGCCUUUCGAAGUAGUGUGUGUGAUACGGAAGGUUUAUGAGCGCAUUUGUGGGCACCAUCUAGAUGUAAGGGCCAUGGCCUAGAAAGUUUUGCAGUAGUGAUUGAGACGAAAUGAAUGUGUGGAUGAGUGAGGAAUAGGAUUGUAAGUUUGCCCAAGUUGUGGAUUUCACUUAAGGCUCUAGACAAUCGAAAAUAAAUUUGGAUUUCGACACAACCUAAAAUAGAAACAAAUCCAAGUUAGAUCUACGAAUUCAGAUAUUAAAAGAAGUAAUUAAAAUAGAUAAUCAAGAUAAAAAAAUAAUAAAAUAAAUCAAAGAUUUGAAUAAUGAAAUAGGAACAAAAUAAGAUAAAGAAGAAAAUAAAACAGAUAUAUGGAAAAGAUGAAAAUGGUGUGUAGAAGUCGUAAGGAGCCUUGAAAACCCGAUGAAUCCACAACCCCCUUCGAUUGGCAGUAAUUUUCCCUCCAAGAAAGGGCAAGAAAAUGCUUGAAGAUGAUCCCCAUAAUCUGAAUAGAUUGUUAAAACUCUUCUAAAAGAAAACUGAAGAGAAAGUCUUAAAAAGAAAACUCAAAGAUAAUUUUAUUAACUCAAAGUGAAUAAUGAAUGAAUUCAUUGUUGUACAAUGCAAAGGCCUUUAUAUAGGCUAGUUAAAUAAAUCUAAAUAAAAAUCUCAAGUAUACUAGAACUCUAAUUAACCGAAACAAGAAGUAGUUUUAAACUAAACUUUCUUGUUGAUAUAAAACUCCUAAAUAACUUAAAAUAUUUAAUAAUUAUAAAAAAAUUAGAAUAAAAAAAUAAUAAAAUAAUAAGAGAAGAUAAAUAGAAUAUUGGGCUUAUAUAUAAUAAAAAUUAAGCUUAAAACCCAAAACCAAUAUGAUUUAAACUCGAAUUAAAAGCCUGAAACUCGUAAUUUCAGUAAUAAUCCCGUCGAGAAAUUCUACUCAUGCAGUUUUCACUAAAACAAUCAUAACUUGAGUUCUCGAACUCGAAAUCAAGUGAUUCAAAGUGUGUGUCGAAGCUAAAAGAUAUAUCUUAGAACGCUAUGAAGACAUAUUAAUCUAGAAUGUCUAGAACCCAUCCAAAAAUUUGUCACAAGUUGACUAAUCUUUUCAUCUUUAAAAUUGAUAGCUUGGCUAAAUUGACUUUAAUAGAUUUCACCCAUUCCGAGCAUGUUUCAUUCCUCGUUGCCUCGAAAAGUUUAUCCUCACUUACUAACUUUAACCAAAACUUGGUUUGAUUUGGUUGACCUUUGAUCUUGUUGUUGAGCCUUGAGGUAGUGUAAGCCCAUCACAUGUAUCGAUUUGAAAGUUGACAUUUAGACUUGUUUUGUUCCCCCAUUCCUCAAGAAGAUUCGUCCUCGAAUCUUUAGUUGUAUAAAAAAAGGGAUUAGGAUUAAUAACAAUAAAAGCAAACAAAUAAUUACAUAAUCUUUCCUGUGCACCAAAACUAUCUCCAAGAUCAAAGAUAUGAUUUUUGUCUCCCAAAUUAGCUUGGAUCAAGUACCUCUCCUCCAAAAAUAAACCAUCAACACUAAAAAUAUAAAUAUUAGGCACAUGAGUGUUCAAGUAUAAAAUAAUUUGUAACUUUAUUUGAAUACGUAUGGUCAUCCAUAAUAAAUUCCAAAGAUUAGUUAAUAAUUUCACAUAAUAAUCAAAAUCCAGAAGUUUAAUAUUAUUAUGUAAAACAUCAUAUUUAAAGUCUAAGGUAGAAAAUUUUGCUGCAAGAUCAAAUGCAUAAAGUUCUUUAAUAAACCUAUCGAAUGCAACAAAAGUAACCUUUACAAACCUAGAUAAACCCAUAAAAUCAAUUGAACUUUCAAACCAUAGUUUAUUGAAACUUGACCAAUGAGAAAACAUGUUGUAAUGAAAUAUUUUACAAACAAAAUCAGUAAUAUGCUUAUUAAAAACAUUCAAAGUAUGCCUUUUUAAAUCAGAAUGUUUCCUUGCCUUUCUUACCUUGUAGCAUUUGUGGAGAAUUAUCAAUGUUUAACUUACCUCUCUCCCAUAAGGAAAAUCGUCUAUCGAUGGUAUAAUAAUAUAAUUGGAAGUCUGUCAAUGGAUCUCGAAAACCCAAAAAAUUGCGGAGCAACUUGAAAAAAUUUGUUCGAGGUGUUCCCAAUUUCCAAAAAUCAUGAAAUUUAAACUAGAACCUUCCCAAAUAACAAAAAUCUGAUUUGGAAAUUUUGGCAUGAAACUCAACCUAAAGAAUAAUUUUUUAUUUUUCUUUUAUGUUUAUGUUUUUCCUCUUUUUUGAUCACUUUUUUUUUGUGGAAAAUAUUUUUUAAUAUUCUAAAAGAGUGCUAAGAAUCAGCAUGUAAAAUUUUAGAUCUUUUGAAAAAUGUUUACCAAUUGAAAAAUAAUUUUUUUCCAAAAAGUUUUUGCGUAAAAACAAAAACUCUUUUGAGACUAUUUGCUGGAAAUCAAUUUAUAAGAACACAAAGAAUAUCUAAAAUGCCCAAGAAUUUGAUACCAAAUGAUAAGGUGACAGGGGACAUGAUUGUAAGUUUGUUCAAGUCACGGAUUUGACUUAGGGCUCUAGAUGUUCGAAAAGAAACAUGGAUUUUGGCACAACCUGAAACACAAUGAAUCCAAGUCAGAUAAAAAAAUAAAUGAAAAUAAUUGUGUAACACCCCAAAGCCGGCCUAGGAGUUAUGAUCGUAUCUAGUGUGUCACAUUGAAGUGUUUUUCAAAAAAUUUGACUCGUUGAAAAAAAAACUUGUUUCUAAGUUUAAAAUAAAUAAGCAAAAGCCCAAUUAAAAAUAUAAGCUACUUAAAGGCCUUAUUACAAAAAUAAAACCCAACAUUAAAUUAAAUAAAAAUUAAAGUAAAUUUUAAAUAGCAGCAGUUGUGUGGCCACCUCUAAGUCUCUCGCAGCACCGAAUCGCCUAAGGCUUAGGAUUACUUGCACAGUUAGAAGAGAGGGUGAGUUUACGAAAACUCAGUGUGUAAUCCUCUACCAAAUAAUCAGCAUACAACAUGCAGAAUCAGUCUGGGCUAGAGCCCUAUACAGUAACAGUGUGUAGGCCAUAGCCCAAUAUAGUAACAGAGAGUGGGCCUUAGCCCAAUACAAUAACAAAGUGUGGGCCUUAGCCCAAUACAGUAACAAGGCAAAUGCAGUAAUGCAACCCAUCCCAAUCAAGCCAACACACCACUCCGUACCACCAACACACCAUGUAGGGAUAAAAUUGACCCACCCAGCCAACACACCAAUAUCGCAGCAAAGCUGCCAGUAAUAGUAACGCAGCAAAGCUGCCAGUAACAGUAAUGCAGCAGAGCUGCCAGUAUCAGUAACGCAACAAAGCUGCCAGUAACAGUAUUUGUGGCAAAGCCACCAGUACAAUACACUUCCCCCAUAUCAGAAUCCCAACCCUAUGCAGUAUGUCAUAAAUCAUACGUGUAUGCAGUAUGUCAUACUCAGUAACAGUUAUAUAUAUAUAUAUCAUAGAACAAGUCGUUCAUACACACAUUUCAAUUCUUAGGAGCAUAAUAGUCAUUUUACCCUAUGGAGGUGUUUCAGUCAUUUUACCCUUUGAGGGUAUUUCGGUCAUUUUACCUUUCAAGGAUAUUUCGAUCAUUUUACCCUUCGAGGGUAUUUUAGUAAUUUUACCCUUCGGGGGUAUUUUGAUAAUUUUACCGUUCAAGGGUAUUUCAGUAAUUUUACCCUUCGGGGGUAUUUCAAUAAUUUUACCCUUCGAGGGUAUUUCAGUAAUUUUACUCAUCAAGGGUAUUUUGAUAAUUUUACUCAUCGAGGGUAUUUCGAUAAUUUUACCCAUCAAGGGUAUUUCGGUAAUUUGCCCACAAAUCGUACGUAGGGCUCAUCACUCGAGCGAUUGCACGCCCGUGUGGUCUCAAACGUCAUGUUCACGGCUUUUUAGCUUUUGCCGAUUUGCAGUUAAGUGAGGGUGUGAUUACACACCUGAUUGCGAAGGCGCACCUAAGUCUGCGAACACCUAAAAUCUGCAUUCAAACACGUUUUCCAUUAGACGCUAAACAAGAAAGACUAAUCACCUUCUAAACAUCCUUGAUCAAAACCAAUUUAUUACUUGCCUUGACUAACAAAAGAAUGGCUUAGCCACUUGCAAACGAUGUCGACUGAUUCAAUCUUGCUAACAGAUAUCUGCAAUGCUACCACACAUUAAUCGGUAUUGCUUAUUCAUGUGGUUGAAAUCCAUACAUAAUCAAAAAGAGAACCAAGAACAUUUGGCCUUCAUAUAAGAAUACUAGCCUACCUACCUUGGUCGAGGGAUGAGAGGAUGAUUUCAACAAAUUUACAACGCUUACACCGUACCACUUCUCGAGGAAAAACCUUAAUACCACAAUAGGCAGCACAUCGAGAGAAAAGCAUCAAUAAUAAAAAAAUCAAAGUAUUACAGAGGAGGCUAUUUGAUUUUAGGUAAAGAGAAAGAAGGGAACAGUAGCACUUACCGGUAGUCGAUAAUACUUGUAACACAAAAUAAAAAAGGAGAAAAAGAGAAGUGCAAAGAAGAUUCGACACAAAAAGAGAAGAAAGGGAAAAGGAUUCGGUAGAUAGGAUACCAAAGAACUAUUCGGCCACUCCAACAAAAGAAUAAAAUGGAAGUAGGAGAAGGCAGAUGAACAAACCUGAGAGGUUCCCAAGAUCCUUUGGGAAAAAUGGCACAGAAAAAACAAAAGGGGAGAAAGAAAAGCCAAACAAAACUGAAAUUGACCAAAAUUUCAACUGUGAAUGAGAGAAUUCUCUUAAAUAUAGAAACUUUACCAACCAAAAGACCAAUUCGGCACUAGUAACCCCCUAGCCGAAUUUCUUAGAGUGCCAGACUCCAAAAUCUGCACAACUCUUCUACUCAUCAACUCCUCGAUUUUCUCCUCAAAUCUCUCUUGUUAUCACUCCACCGAUUUCUCCUCAACUCCCUCUAUGACCAAUUCAAACUUCCUUCGGCAGUAUUUCACUCCAACUCUGCCACUUACAAGACUCAAGCAGCAAAAUAAAUACCCCAUUGCGCAACCCAAGACUUGAACCCCUGACUUCUCAGACACUUCCAAACACUCCUAAAUCACUUAACCACUGAAGCAGACAUUCAUUUAUGUCACUUUCUGUCACAGCUAAAUAUUUAUGUGCAGUGUUCGAACUGUUCCCUUAUUCAAAACAUAUUUCUUCUAGGCCCAAAAUUUGGGGUGUUACAAAUUAAAAUAAAUAACUAUGAUAAAUAAAAUAGAACAAUAAAGAAGAAAUUAAAAAAUAUAGAUGAAAAAGAUGGAACAUGGAGUGGAGAAGUCCUAAGGAGCCUUGGAAACAAGAAGAAUCCAUAACCCCCUUUAAGUGACUCUAAUUUCCCCUCCAAGAAAGAAAAAUUGACAAGAAAAAUUUUGAAUAUGAUCUCCACAACCAGAAAAGAUUGUUAAAAAUCUCCUAAUAGAAAACUCAAGAAAAAUUCUUGAGAAAAGAAAACUUAAAGAGAAUUUAUUAACUAAAAAGAGAAUUUGUUGAAUAAUAAUGAAUUGAUUUGUUGUAUACAAUGCAAAAGCCUUUAUAUAGAUUAGCUAAAUAAAUCUAAAUAAAACUCUUAAAUAUACUAUAACUCUAAUUAACCUAAACAAGAAGUAGUUUUAACUUGAAUUUUCUUGUUGACAUAAAACUCCUAAAUAACUUAAAAUACUUAAUAAUUAUAAAAAAUUAGAAUAAAAAUAAUAAAAUAACAAGAGCUAAUAAAUAUAAUAUUGUGCUUAUAUAUAAUAAAAAUUAAGCAUAAAACCCAAAUCCAAUAUGAUUUAAACUUGAAUUAAAAGCCCAAAACUCGUCAUUUCUGUAAUAAUUACUAUAACUUGAUUAUUUGUUACAUGACUAGGCGUGUGGGUUUAAUUGGUAUCCUUGAAAUGAAAUGCCUAGGCUUGUUAACAUCUUCCACAUGGGCUUGUCGUCAUAGAUUGAGAUUUUAGGCCCACAAACAAGAUUGGUCUCUUCUAAUUCAUCCUCGCUCUGUAUUAAACUCCAAAAUCCAUCAUCUUGAAGCUUCAACUCUUUUUCUCAAACUUUUUUGUGAUAAAGUCUUAAACGAAUAAGUUGAGUUUUGACUUUAACUACUUGGAUUUAGAUCUCGUGAUUGGGCACUGAGGGAAACUAAGUCCAUCUUUAUUAUAACCUUUGAAUUGGACCGGGUUGCUCGUAUCAUUGCCUCAUCCACAAAAGGGUUCUUCAUUGAAUCUGCAAUAUCAAUGGGAGAAAGGUCAACGACAUUAAAAGUGGCACUAACAUUAUGCUUAUCGAAAAGAUCGAUUUGAUAUGCAUUAUCAUUAAUGUGCUUGAGUACUUCAAAAGUUCCAUCACCACGUGGGUCCAAUUUUUCUUGCUUCUAGUCGAAAAUCCUUAUUUUCUCAUAUGGACCCAAACCUAAUCAUCAGGCUAAACUAUAACUUGCUUACACCCCUAGUUAGCUUUGUUGGCAUUCGUUUCAUUUGUUUUGGCGAUUUGUUGCCUUGCUUUCUCGUGCAUGGAUUUCACUAAUUCAGCUUUCUUCUCACUAUCCAAACUAGAAAUUUUUUCUAUAGGAAAUGUCAUAAGAUCAAGUACAGUUAGUGGAUUAAAACCAUAAACAAGUAAAAAUAGGGAAUAGCCAGUUGUAAAGUGAAUAGAUCGGUUAUAUGCAAAUUCAACAAAUGGAAAACAUUCUUCCCAACUAUUAAGGUUCUUACCCACAACAACUCGUAGUAAAGUACCUAAGACUCGAUUGACUACCUCAGUUUGUCCAUCAAUUUGGGGGUGACAUGUAGUAGAAUAUAAUAAUUUAGUAACAAGAUUACCAUAAAACACUUUCCAAAAAUGGCUUAGGAACUUUACGUCUUUGUCAGAUACAAUGGUGUGGGUUAUCCCAUGUAGGCGCACUACCUCUCUAAAAAGUAAGUCAACCACAUGUGUUGCAUCAUUCAUUUUGUGGCAAGGAUUGAAGUGAGCCAUCUUUGAAAACUUGUCAACAACAACAAAAAUACUAUCUUGACCCUUUCUAGUUCGUGGCAAACCAAGAAUGAAAUCCGCGGAUAAGUAUACCCAUAGUGAAGAAGGAAUCGACAAAGAAGUGAAAAGUUCAUAAGACGUUACCUUAGAUUUUGCUUAUUUACAAGCAAUACAUUUAGAAUAUACCUUUACAACAUCCUUCCUCAUGUGCCGUAAAUAAAAAAUGUUCUUGUAAAAUAUCUAGUGUUUUGGCGACACCAAAGUGUCCCAUUAAGCCCUCAGUACAUACCUCACGAUUUAAUAACUCUCUCAUGGAACAUUGUGGAACACAUAAACUGUUUAGGCAAAAUAGAAACCCAUCUACAAGAUAAAAGUUGUUAAAGGCAACAUUCUGACAAUUAGAAAAAAUAUUUGCAAAAUCAAUAUCAUUUAAGUAUAAAUCCUUUUUAUGUUCAAACCCUAAGACUUUAGCAUUUAAUGUAGUUAUCAAAGAAUAUCUACGAUAUAAGGCAUCAACAACUACAUUUUCUCUACUUGUUUUGUACUUAAUUACAUAUGCGAAUGUCUCUAGGAGUUCUACGCAUCAAGCGUGUCUUUUUCUCAACUUACCUUGUCCCUUUAACCAUUUUAGGAAUUCUUGAUUUGUAUGGAUAAAAAAUCAUUUGGCAGCAAGUAAUGUUUCCAAACUUGUAGAACUUGAACUAAUGUAAGCAACUCCUUAUCUUAAGUUGAGUAGUUUAAUUGCGCCCCAUUCAAUUUUUCACUAAAGCAUGCGAUAGGGCUCUUGUCUUGCAUCAAUACAACUCCAUUUCCAAUAACUGAAGCAUGACAUUCAAGUUCAAAAGUAUUAGAAAAAUUAGAUAAUUUAAGAACAGAAGUAGAACAUAACUUAUCCUUUAAGGCUUGAAAAGCCUUUUCCUGAGCUUCUCUCCACUUAAAAUUCACAGACUUUUUAAUAACCUCAAUUAAUGGGGCAACAAUAGUGGAGAAAUCCUUCACAAAACAUCUAUAAAAACUUUCUAAACCAUGAAAAGAUCCCACCUCAUUAAUUGUUUUAGGAGUGGGUCACUCCCUAAUUGCCUUUAAUUUGUCCUUAUCGACAUGAAUACCUUGAGCACUUACUAUAAAACUAAAAUGGCUAGUUUAUAACAACAAAAAUUGCAUUUAUCAAGGUUGGGAAGUAACUUUUCAGUUCUAGGAAUGUCCAAAAUAAAUUUAACAUGGAAAACAUGAUCAUCUAAAGAAGUUGAGUAAAUCAUAAUAUCAUCAAAAUAUACUACCACAAACUUACCUUAAUAAGGCCUUAAAACAUGAUUCAUUAUUCUCAUGAAAGUACUAGGUGUGUUAGUUAGACAGAAGGGCAUAACAAGUCACUCAUACAAUCCAAACAUAGUUUUAAAGGUUGUUUUCCAUUCAUUCUCUUCCCUCAUAUGAAUUUGAUGAGAACCACUUUUUAAAUCAAAUUUAGUAAAAAUUAUUAAACCUUGUAACUCAUCAAGCAUGUCAUCAAGUUUAGAGAUUGGAUGCUUAUACUUUACUGUUAUUUUAUUGAUAGGGCAACAAUCAACACAUUCAGAAUGAACCAUCCUUCUUAGGCACCAAUAGGACCGGGACGGCACAAGGGUUCAAACUUUCUCUAAUGUACGCUUUUUUUAAUAGCUCUUUCACUUGCCUUUGUAACUUCUUUGUCUCCUUGUGAUUGCUUCGGUAAGCUGGACAGUUUGGAAUUGUUGUACCAAGUUCUAAGUCAAUUUGGUGGUCAAAACCUAGCAAAGUUGGUAAACCUUCAGGUGGCUUAUUAAAAACAUCCUCAUAAUCUCGCAAAACAGAUGAAAAGACACUAGGCAAAAAAUCAUUAAGGUUAGCUAAAGUUAAAAAAAAAACAUCCUCAUCCACAUUAUCUCGUUGUAUGAGCAUUUUCAUCUCCUUGAAGUAAUUUGUAAGGCCCUAAAAAUAAGUCUGGCAGUUUCGGGUAAGUUUAAUGGGUUCCAAGUGAAAAUUAGGAGUUAAUCAGGUUUAUUAGUAAUUUUUAUUAGUUAGUUAGCUUAAUUUCAUUUAAAAAUAAGGAAAUAAUAUUCCAGAAAUAAAAUAUUUUUAGAAAAAUUAAUUUUAUAGUCUUAAAUAAUUUUUGGGUAAAAUAAAUAUUUUGGGUCGAAUUAGAAUUGAAAAAUCAAUUAAAAUGGGGGUUUAAUUGAGAGAAUUCAAAAUAUUGAUUACAUAGGACCAUUUUGCAAAACAAGAGAAAUAUUUGAGUGGUUCUAUGGAAAAUUACCCAUAUUUUUAGAAUUUUGGAGGGAAAAGAUUAUUUAGUAAAAGAAGGGAAUUGCGGGAGUGGCCUGAUGACAAUUUCCCCAAUUUUUGGAAAUCAGGUGGGGGUUCUUUAGUUCAAAAACGCUGCAGCCUCCUCACUUCACACACAAUUAUCAACUGAUUUCUAAGCAUUUUCUCUCAUUUUUAUUUUUCAUUUUCAAAGUCCACAUAUCAAAGAUUUGAUCUCAUCUUUUAUUCUCUCAAAAUUCUCUAGAAAAGAUUUCUAAAGUUGAGAAAAAACUCAUCCGAGUUCUUCAAAGAUCUUGAUCCAAUCUUCAAUAUUGGUGAUUCUAGAUCGAUUGAAGGUAUUUUCUCAAGUCUAAAUUCAUUCUAACGUUGUUUUAAUCAUUAUUUUCAAUCUAAAUUGAUUAAAAUAGCUUUUCAAAUCUUGAUCUCUUAGCUAUUGAACAUGAGAUUCAUCAAUGGUGAAUUCAUGGUUUUGAUUUGGAGUCCAAGUUUAAAUGGAUAUUUAAGCUCAAACUCGUUUGGUUGAUCAUUUUUGACAAAUCCAUUUUUUUAACUAAAAACAUGAGUUGAUUUUCUGAAAAAUUAUGAAACGGUUUGUUUGGUGAAAUUGAUGUUUAGGUUUUGUGUUGAUAGAUUAGGAAUGAUGUUUAGAAAUCAUUUUUGGUGUAGAGAAGGUCAUUUGGGUGUUGAAAUUUGUGUUUCAGAUCGAUCAUGAGUUUUCAGUAAGGCAGAUUGGAGAGGCGUUUUAGAUCUGUGUAGUUCAUGAUUUUUCAAUUUUAUUGUUUUUAAUGAUAACUUGUAACAUGUAUUUUACCUCUGCUUAAGAUCCACAUCGAGGAGGGGCCACUGCUGAUUAGAAUUGAGGUCUAAACACAACUACUUGAUACACUUUGGCUUGAAAAGCAAAGUGUGAAUGUGAGUGGUUUUUAAAGGAAAUUGGUAAACAUGAUUGUUUACAUUCUGAAUUGAGGUUUUGAAUUGUGUUUCUAGUGAUUCAAUUGUAUCUCAAAUGGUUUACAUUUCAAAUUUGAUUUUAAUUUUAUGAAAGCAUAUUUGUAAAUGAUUUAUGGAAACUAUGAAUAGAGUGUUUGAUAUGGUUGAUUUGAAUUAGAUUGAUUAAUAAUUGGAGCAUGGAUUACUAUAUAUUAGAUCACUUAAUGAUGAUUUUAUAGUUGGUUUUAGAUCCAUGGACAAAGACACUUAUUGAGCUUAUCUAUGUUGAUGUUAAAAUUACUAAGUGACAUGCUUUAAAUUAAAUUUUUAUAUCCUGAAUUAAGUGCUUAAAUAUCAGUAUUUAUGCCCUGUGUGUUUGGUUAUAUUGGCAACAUUGCAUGGUGGAUCCAUUAGAUAUAGAUGACAUACCAUAGGAUUAGUGAGUACUCACCACUACAUGUGUUAUUUGUGAGCAUACGGCUUUAUGAGUAUUGACAUUGCUGGAGUGAAUAAGGGAGUGUUGAGCCUUUUUUCUCCACUCAAUCAUUGGAGAUUUCGAGGAAACAUAAAGGAGUGUAUGGCUACACCCCACUGAACCGGAGUAUUGUAUUCGAUAUUUGGAAGAUUGGAGAUCCGUUUAUCCAAUGCAUGAUCACAUGUUUAUAUUUUGCUAUGGAUGUCAUUUGCUAAUAUAAGUGUGUGCUUGUUAAAUAUAAUAUGUUUUCAUAUGCCAUAAUAAAUGUGAUUUUUACUCAUGGAAUAACAUGUGGAAUUAUGAUGUUAUGAUGUUGCAUUGAUGCUGGAAAUUUCAGUCAAUUGAAUGCCAUAAUUCAGCGUGAAAAUAUAAUUGAAACUAUGAAUCAUAUAACUGAAAUUUGAUACAUGAUUUGCCUUGGUUUAAGUAUGUCUUUGGUGUGAUUUACUUAUUUAAUUUAUGGCCAUUCACUGAGAUUUUUCAGCUCACACCCUCACAGCUUUGUGCAGAGUUUUUCUAGCUUUGAGGAUUCGAGGAGCAAGGGCAAGGUUGGUCCAAGUUUAAUUCUACUUGGUAGUAUAGAUUAAGGGCUUUUCUAUAGAUAAAUUCAAGGGAAUUGUGGCACUCAAUUGGGAUAAUUUGAUACACUUGUAAUGGAUGUUUGAGACUUACAUUUGGAUAUUAAUUUUGAGAUGUUAUAUUUGUUUUUUUUUAUGUUUGGUUUUAUGGUUAAAUGUUGAGUGUAGUAUUGUAUGUUGCUAAGUGAUAACAUGGUGAUUGAAAAUAUGGUGAUUGAAGCAUGAAAUUCUCACUAAUACAUUUUAAUCGUAGUUUGUCAAGGAGUGGAUAGCUUUGUGGCUAAGGUAAGUCUAUUGUAUGUUUUAAUUGUUGUUCGUUAAGCAUGAUUUUGAAUGUUUAAAUUAUUAAACACAUGUUGUUUAUUAGUUGUAAUUAGAUUAAUUAGAGUUGUAUGUAUGAUUAAGGUAAUAAAACUUAGCUAAUAUAGCUUUAAUUAAUAAACGAAUUAAGGGAAAAUGACUAGUUAAAAAGAAUAUCAGGGGUUUCACUAAUUAAAAAUAAUAUCAGGGGUUUCAUAAAUUGACUAUAAGAAACUUAGUAACCAUUUAGAAUUAAAAUCAGGUUUGUUUAGCUUUAAGUGCUGAAAUGACCUAGAUACCCUUAGGGUUAAAUUCCUAAAGGAAGUUUUAAAAUGGUUCACAAAUCGCUUUUGCAAAAAGAUUAGAUAGUUAUUAGUUAGAAAUGGGGUGUUAUAAGGUUAGGGUGUGCUUUAGGUGAUUUUGUGCUAGAGAGUCACUUCAGUGACUAAUGUGUCUAUAACAUCCCUAACUCGUAUCCGUUGUCGAAAUAGGGUUACAGAGCAUUACCAUACAAAUAGAACAGUAAACCAUUCAAUUCAUACAUCAAUGCAAAUAUAAUCUAACUACAUUCAAUUACAUUCAUAAUGUCCCUUAAUCGAACCCUCCAGGCCCUAAAAAUACUUUAGAAAUAAUCCAGGACUAAAUCAGAAAUAUUGUACUUGUACAUCUGUUUCAAGUCACAAUACUUCUUCGUACUACCAGGAGGAAUAAAAUACGUAGUACUGUGAGCUUCAGACAAAUUAUCUCUUUUCAAAUCUGAAUCAUUUGGAACACAAAUUCUAUCACUAUAACGCAAUGUACCGUUAUCAGUAAUAUUGUACUCAGUACUGAUGUCAUUCUGAACCAAUUUUUGUUUCAACGUCAACUUUGGAUCUUUUUUUUGCAAUUCCCAAAUCCAUUGUAGAAAUAGGGGUUUGGUUCUCAACUUUGCCAGCAUAGAACCAUCUUCAUUCAGAGCUAAAUGAGCGUUCAACACUCGAAGUGCAAACAAUGACGACUUUAAACUGAGUGCAUCUGCGACCACAUUAGCCUUUCUCAGAUGAAAAUCAAUAACCAAAUUAUAACCUGUCAGUAGCUCUAACUAAUGUCUCUGUCUUAAAUUCAGUUCUUUCUAAGUCAUCAAAUACUUUAAACUUUUGUGAUCCGUAAACACAUGACAUUUCUCGCCGUAUAAAUUAUGUCUCCUAAUCUUCAAAGCAAAUACAAUCGUGGCCAGCUCAAGAUCAUGAGUAGGAUAAUUCUUUUCAUGUGGCUUUAGCUAUUGAGAAGCAUAAGCUACUACUUUUCCUACCUGCAUAAGCACACAACCGAAAUUGUUGAAAGACGCAGCACUAUAAACAACAUAUGCUACCUUAAAUUUAGGCCAAGUCAACACUGGAACUUCUGUCAACAUGUUUUUCAAUUGAUCAAAACUCUGUUGGCACUUCUCAGACCAAAUAAACUCAACAUUUUUCUAUAGUAGUCUAGUCAUCAGUGAAGCAAUAAUCGAGAAGUUUUUAACAAAACGUCGAUAGUAACCUGUUAAACCCAGAAAACUUCGUACCUUAGAAAUAUUCUUCGAAAUUGUCCAAUUCAUCACAGCAAAAACUUUACUCGGAUCAACUCAAACCCCAUCAGCUAAUACUAUGGAACCCAAAAAUCCAACCUCUCGAAUCCAUAAUUCACACUUACUGAACUUUGUGUACAACUAUUUUUCUCUCAAAGUCUGUAACACGAUUCUCAAAUGUUGAGCAUGCUUGGAUUCUAUCUUGGAAUAGAUCAAUAUAUCAUAAAUAAACACAAUAGCAAAUCUAUCCAAAUGAGCUUGAAAAACUCGAUUCAUUAAAUCUAUAAAAGCAACAUGAGCAUUAGUCAAACCAAAUGGCAUUACUAGAAACUCAUAUUGACCGUAACGAGUUUUCGUCUUUGAUGGAUCACAAUCUUUAACCUUCAAUUGAUAGUACCCGGAUCUGAGAUCUAUCUUCGAUAACACUGUGGCACCUUUUAAUUGAUCAAACAAAUUGUCAGUUCCUGGCAAAGGAUACUUAUUAAUUAUCGUGACUGUGUUCAAUUGUCUGUAGUCUAUACACAAUCUCAAAGAGUCAUCUUUCUUUUUCACAAACAAUACUGAUGCACCCUAGGGAGAUACGCUCGGUCGAAUAAAGCCUCUAUCUAAUAACUCUUGCAAUUAUGCUUUCAAAUCUUUUAAUUCAAUUGGUGCCAAACAAUACGUUGAUAUUGAUAUCAGUGUAGUUCAAGGAGUUAGAUCAAUCACAAACUCAACUUUACGAUCAGGAGGCAAACCCGCUAACUCUUCAAGAAACACAUCAAUAAACUCAUUAAUAAUUGCUAGUUUAUCUAACUUCGAUUUUGAAUCUCUGAUAUAAAAAAUGUAUGCUAGAAACGCUUCACUACCUUUGCGUAUCAAUCUCUAUGCAAAAAUAGCUGAAAUGAUUGGAACAGCAUUUUUCGGCCCAUCAGACUUAACUAAAAUCACCUAUUCUAUCUAACAUUUCAAAUCAAUCUAUUUCUGCCUACAGUUUACUACAACAUCAUGCAACGAUAGCCAAUCCAAACUGAGAAUAAUAUCAAAUUCUUGAAAGGGUAGUAACAUCAAAACAGCAGGGAAUUCACAGCUUCUAACUUUUCAUGGACAUUUACAACAAACUAAGUUAACUAUCACACUCUGACCUAGUGGAUUAGUAACUUGAAUAUCAUAUUUAGUAGAUUCAACAUAUAAUUUCUUUUUCAUUACUAAUGCAGUGCAAAUAUAAGAAUAAGUUGACCCAAGGUCAAUCAACGCAUACACAGUAACAUCAAAGAGAUAAAAUAUACCAGCAAUCGCAUUAGGAGCAGUACCUUCCUUUCUGGCUCGAAUGUCAUAUGUGCGAGCAUUUACUCUAGCCUCUGAUCAAACAACAGUGUCCUUUACUCUUGUACAAGUAGUCCAGUAGUACUAUUUUGGCCCGGACGUCUACCUUUCUGAGAUGUAGACAUUUGCUUCUCAUUUUGUUCUUCAUUUUCUUUUAACUGUUUAGGACAAUUUCAGAGAAAGUGAUCAGUCGACCCACAUUUAUAACAGAAUCCUGACUUAGUUCUAUACUAGCUAAGAUGAAAUUUUCCACAAUGUCUACAACUGGGCUUCGGAGCGUUCCGUACACUUCCCAUACUAUCAACUAGUUUAAUAGGAGCUUUAAAGUCAUGCUGAAUCGAUUUACGUUUGUUCGGAUGUUCAGACACUGAAAUAGCUCGACUAAAGUCUUAUUUAGUUUUCUUUGCUGGUGAUGCGGAAAACGAUUUAGAAGAACUUCUCUUGUGAAACUCUCGAAUCCGUUGAUCUCUUUUUAUUUACGAUUGUACACUUCUUCCAUUUUCUAUGCACGACCGAAUAAAACAAUAAAUUCUUGAAUUUCAUUACCUCCGAUCAUCAUUCGGAUUUCAUCAUUCAGGCCAUCUUCAAAUUGGAUACAGAUCUCUUCUUCAAUGGGCACAAUCUCUCGGGCAUAGUUACUAAGAUAUACAAAUUCUCUCUUGUACUCAACCAUCGAUUUAUUUCCCUGAUGUAACAUAAGAAAUUCUGUCUUUUUCUUGUCUAGAUACUAUUUCUCGACAUACUUCUUUUUAAACUCGUUCUGAAAGAUAUCACAGGAAAUUUUCUCCCUCGGUACCAAAGCUACCAACGUUGUCCACUAACUGUACGAUUCCUCUUUUAGUAAUGCAAUGAGACAUCUAAGAAAAUCAUCAGGAGGGCAAGCCAUUUCUUCGAAAACGCGUAAGAUUUUCUAAAGCCAAUACUCAGCUUUAACCGAAUCAUCUUCUGAUCUACCUCGAAAUUCUUCAGCACCACACUUUCUAAGUUUCUCAAUCGAAAUACUUCAACUAGGCUCAAUCACGAGAGGAGCUAGAGGUGCAACUGGAGGUAUAACAUGAGGUAUAAAAGGGGGUAAAGGUCAUUGACCCAGAGUAUUCAUUUGCAUAAACUCAUUGAACCAUUGGUUCAUAAAUCCAAGGAACAUGUAUUUAUGUUUAUGCUUCAGUGUUGGAUGAAUUGAAACAUUACUACUCGUCCCAUGAUUAAAGGUCGGUAAAUUACUAUUAACCUCAUCAUUGUCGACAUGAUCAGAUCCAUCUGACAUCUUUAUAAUCUAAAAGAAAAACAAAGGUUAGAUCGGAUAAAACACAUCACACUAUCACAAAUUUAUAUGGCAGGUAAUUCUAGGCAUUUCACAUGCUACGUUUAGUCUGAGAACUGACUAAACCGUAGCUCUGAUACUACUAAAUGUAACACCCCUAACUCGUAUCUGUCACCAAAAUAGGGUUAUGGAGCAUUACCAUACAAACAAAAUAGUAAACCAUUCAAUUCAUACAUUAAUGCAAAUAUAAUCUAAUUAUAUUCAAUUUCAUUCGUAAUGUCCCUUAAUCGAACCCUCAAGGCCCUAAAAAUAUUUUAGAAACAAUCCGGGACUAAAUUGAAAACAUUUGGAAAGUUUAAGAAAAAAUUAGAAAAUUUGGAUUGUAGGGGUCACACGGCCGUGUAGCCAGGCUGUGUGCCUCACAUGGUUAAGACACACACUCGUGUCUCAGGCCAUAUAACCUUCAAAAUAGGGACACACGACCGUGUCCCAGCCUGUGUACUCACCUAUGGAACUCUCUGAGCUGCAUUACACGACCAAGCCACACGCUCGUACGCUAGGCCGUGUAACGCUCAGAAUAGCCUUACACGCCCGUGUGCCAGGCCGUGUUCUAGGCUUUGUAACUGUUUGACUUGUGAGCCUUAAACCUAUAGGGGACACACGACUGUGUCGCAUGGUCGUGUGUCACAGACGGCUGAGUCAUACACCGGUGUCUCAGGCUGUGUGGACCUAAAAUGAACCUUAUACCAUAGGUUUACCAUUUCAAACUUACUUGGAUCCUAGUAAACUAUUUACCAACCAAAGCACCUAUUGAAAAUAACAUUAAUCAAGCAAAAAACAUACCAAAUCAAUCUAUUAAGUGUCUAACCAAUGUACCCUUAUUGGUACCAUAAGUAUAUACAAUUUUACAUCAAAAUAAAACCUCAAACACAACUUAUCAAUUCAUAAAAUUAACACGUAACCAAUGUACCAUUCUAUUUUCAUUGAAACAUCUACCUCAUUCACAUUCAUUAUAUAAGUUAGCAAUUCAUACAUAAUAUCUUACUUAGCAUUUUACUAUUUUCAAAACAUUAGUAAUAUCAACACAGAAGCCUAUUACAUGCCAUAUAAACCAAAUCAAACAUUUCAAAAACUAUCGAGUUAAGCUGAAUAGUGUAACUUGAGUGCUGAACUGAUCAUCCAACCUUUCGAGUAUCUACAAGAACAUUAAAUAACAAAAGUAAAAUAAAUGAAGCUUAGUAAGUUUAAUGUAUUUAAAUGAAAAAUGUUACCGAAGUAAUUACAACAAUUCAAACAAUAACUAUUCAACCAUGAAGGUUUCAUGUCAUCCACAAUCUCAACUAAAAAAUCACAUACAUUCAAUUUAAUGCUCAAAUGUAUAGCAAAUCCAUCAAAUUCGUUAAACAAAUUACCUUACUGAGAUUUUCAAUUCGAAGAAUGACUUACGGAUAGAAGCGCAUCGUCAAUCCAACCAUAACACGCCAGAUGCUCAUAUGAGCGAAUCCCUCCAAAACACACCAAAUUCUCACAAGAGCUAGUCCAACUGAAAAACGCCAAUGCUCAUAAGAGCUAGUCCAACCGAAAAAUGCCAAUACUGAUAAGAGCUAGUCCAACUAAAACACGCCAAAUAGAGAGUAUAACAGGAGACUUCGCAACAAAUACUGAACCUCAAUUUACUCGGGAAAUAAAUAUAUACAUCCCUCUAAAACCAUCUCCACUCGAAUCCCCCACAACACACCAUAUCACGAUUAUACUCUAUCCCGCAUUCAAUUCAACCCGAACAUCAAAUUCAAUAACAUAUCUCAAAUAAUCUUUCAUUAUCAUUAAUUGAAUAUAUAUAUAUUGGUAUCAUGUUAUACUAUUCAACAAUUGAUAUAGAUGUUAAAUUUUAAACCGUUCAAACUUACCUUGACUGAAUUGUAGUAGUUGUAUAAGUUUAGGGACUAUUUCGCUAUUUUUCCUUUUCCACGAGUGUCUACGAGAUCUUGAUCUAAAAUGUAAAAUUUCUCAAAUAUCAGCUUACAUUUCACAUUUCAAUCCAUUUUACAACUAAUAACCUUUUAUUUUUCAAAUUUACAUAAAUACCCUAAACUUUUAUAAUUUUUGCAAUUUAGUCCCUUAAAUCGAAACUCAUCAAAAUAACCAUUUUUGUCAAAUCAAAAUUCUAUUCAAAUAUACUAGGCCCUUCAACAAUCCCUAAUUAACAUGAAAUUCACUAUCAAACCCUAAACUUUUGUCAUUUUCACAAUUUAAUCCUAAAAUCAAAAUCUAACAAAAAUCACUUUACAAAAUCAUUGUUCAACAUAAUCAAAGAUUCAAAUACAAGGUAUCACAAGUCAUUUUGAAAGUUUGAUAAAAAAACACAACACUCAAAAAGAAAAAAAAAACCUCACCGUUAUGCACUCAAAAAUAAAAUAAAAUUCUCAAUGAGGUAAGAAUUAAUCUUGUGAGUGUUUUAAAAGUGUUUAUAUCAAUUAAUCAUAAUGUAUUAUAACCAAACUAGCAAAGAAAACCUAGUAGCACUAGGACUCUAAAAUUAGCUAGACACCAAAUAAUUAUGUUACAUGAAGGAAGGAAUGUGUAGCGUGCUUUAACCUACUAACACAAGAAAUAAUAAAGUGUUAGAAUUUGCAAAGGAAUAAAAAAAAGUGAAAACCUAAGGCUAAGAGUCAAUGAAAAUCCCUAAAACCUGGAAACCUGAAAAAUUGUGUAGUAGCUUGACAAAAUUCGUUCGAGGUGUUCUCGAUUUCAAAAAAUCACGAAAAUUGAACUAGAGCCUUACCAAAUAAUGUAGAUUUGAUCUUGAAAGUUUCCACAUGAAAUUCAACCCACAAAACCUUUUUUAAUUUGUUUAUUUUUCAUAUUUUUCUAUUUUUUUCCACUUUUUUCACUUUUUUUUGAGAAAUAUUCUUUAAUAUUGUAAAAGAGUGGUAGGAAUCAGUAUGUAAAAUUUUAUAUUGCUUGAAAAAAAAUUUAACAACUAAAAAAUAUUUUUCCCAAAAACUUUCUGGGUAAAAAGAACUAUUUUGAGGUUGUUUGGUGGAAAUCAGUGUAUAAGAACACAAAAAACACCUAAAAUGCCCAAGAAUAUGAUACAAAAUGAUACAUACUCAAUGUGUGAAUGAGUGCAAAACAUGAUUGUAAGUUUUUCCAAGUCGCAGAUUUGACUCAGAGGUCUAGAAACUUAAAACACAAACAAAUUCAAGUCAAAUAUAAAAUGUCAAAAAAAUUAAAGGAAACAAUUAAAAUAGAUAAUUAGGACAAAAAACAAGUAAAUAAAUCAAAGAUUUGAAUAAUUAAAUAGGAACAAAAUAGAAUAAAGAAGAAAACAAAAUAGAUAGAUGGUGUGUAGAAUUCCUAUAGAGCCUUGGGAACCCAAUGAAUCCACAACCCCCUUCAAGCGGCUUUUAUUUUACUUCCAAGAAAUAAAAUUUGACAAGAAAAAGCUUGAAGAAGAUCCCCACAAUAUGAAAAGAUUGUUAAAAGUCUUCUAAAAGAAAACUCAAGAGAAAUUCUUAAAAAGAAAACUCAAAGAGAAUUUUAUUAACUCAAUGUGAAUAAUAAAUGAAUUCAUUGUUGUACAAUGCAAAGGCCUUUAUAUAGGCUAUCUAAUUAAAUCUAAAUAAAACUCUUAAGUAUACUAAAACUCUAAUUAACCUAAACAAGAAGUAGUUUUAAACUAGACAUUCUUGUUGACAUAAAACUCUUAAAUAACUUAAAAUACUUAAUAAUUAUAAAAAUUCAAAAUAAAACAUAAUAAAAUAAUGGGUCUGAAAGUGGGCCUUGGUACUCAUAUUAGGGGUACUAUUGGCUCACCAUGCAAAAAGACAUAAAAACCUUCCCCCGCACGCCUGUUGAACAUGUACAUACCAUCUCUAGUCCUUAGCCUUUUGCAAAUGGGGUAUUUACAUUGUAAGACCAUUUCCAUAAGCCACAACACAUAAGAGGUAUAUUGUCAUCACCAUAGAAUAUUUUACGAAAUGGAUAGAAGCAAAAGCAUUAGCCACCAUCAAAGAAAAGCAGGUGGAGAACUUUAUCUUGAAAGUUAUCAUACGCAUAUACAAUAUCCUACGCCUGAUCAUUAUUGAUAACAUGAUGUAAUUCCCAAUAAAGUUCAAUGAAUUUUGUGAUAGCCUCCAUAUAGAUUUGGUGCUUAGUUCAGUAAAAAUCCCACAAAUGAAUGAGCAAGCAAAAGCCACUAAUAAGAAGAUCCUUUAGUGCUUGAAGAAGAAGUUAGAAUACACAAAAGGUAGAUGGUUGGAUAUAUUGCCUAGUAUCCUCAAGUCUUUAUGGACCACAUUAGACUCAGGGACAGGAGAAACCCCCUUUCAAUAUUAUGUUUAGCAUCGAAGUUGUAAUACCAGCUGAUAUUGACCUCAACACGUACCAAAUAAUUCACUAUACUGAGCAUGCCAAAGAAAACAAUCUCUAAGAGAAUCUAGAUUUCUUAGAUGAAGUGAUGAAGCACCACUUAGAAUGGAAAUCCAAGCUUCGUAGGUGGUGCAGUACUCUAAUUCCAAAGUCUACGACAAACAAUACUAGGUGGGAGACUUAAUGAUGAGGAAUGUAGAAGCUAGUCAACCAAUUGGUCAAAAAGGAAAAUUCUCAGUUACUUGGGAGGGACCUUACCAUGUAGUAGCAAUAUUGGGAUGUGGAACUUACCAAGCUCUAAAAGGAUUGUGCGUACUCACAUUUGUGAUGUGGUUUAUGGGGCAUUGAGGCCCAGGGAUAGUUUUUGGAGAGAUAAGGGAAUGUGAGCUACGCUCCAUUCACCAGGAUAUGUAUGUUUGGUGUGUUAGAGAGUGUUAACGAUACGUUUCACUUAUGGGAUAUGUACGACUCUAUGAGUCAUUAUUAGUGUGUUGGAGAUCCGUGUAUUCGAUGUAUGGUGAGAGAGUCCACAUUAUGUUUAAUAUCCUCAAGAUUCAAACUAUCAUAAAACGUGAUUGAAAGUGACUAAAUGUGAUUAAAAUGUGCUUUGAUAUAUGCUUAACUAUUUAGGUGAUUAUUGAGAUAUAUGUGUAAUGGAAUUAAUGGAAGAUGCUUAUACAUGUGAAAUAUGAUAUUAGAGUUUAAUAUGUUAUGAAUAUGAGAUAUGUCUGUUUACAAAGUGGUUAUUCUAAGCAUUCACUGAGCUUGUUCAGCUCACCUACUCCAUUUUAAGCUUUGCAGAGUAGGUGCGUUCCCGGUGUGAGCAGUGUGGCCUUCAAGGGAUUGAUCCAAGUCAUUCUUUAGUCACUAUAGUAGGUAUUGCUAGUUAUUUUUUAUAUGGGAGUUUAGGGCAAUGUGGUAGAUUUUAUAUUGGUUUUGCUACGACAUUUUUGGGGUAUUUGCAAGGUAUUUAUGUUUGGAGGUAUGUGGACUUGAAUAUGAUGCUUGGACUGUUAUUUUGGAUAAUUUGAUGUUUAUUUAACUAGGUGAAUGAAACUUGUUAUUUAGGGUUGUGUUUGAAUGUUUUUAUUACUGAUAUAUGCUGAAAUUCGAUAGUCUGAAGCAGAGGUAUUGAUAUGUGGGUUUUAAAAAUGAUACAUGUGUAAAUUCAAAAGUGUAGGGAGUUAGAAUAUAGAAUUGGUAUCGAUACCUUGGCCCGAGUAUCGAUACUCGAGGUAAAAUAAUAAAUACCUUGCGAAUGGUACCGAUAGUUGUUGACGUUUGGAAAUUUUGGUGAGAAACAGAAUGCAAGUUUGGUGUCGAUUUUUCAUGUGGUAUUGAUACCACUUAAAGAAAAUAUCAAUACCACUCUUUUAGCAUCGAUACCUAUCUAAAAUGUUUUGGAAAAUUAAGUGGUCCCAAUGCUCGAUGUAUGUCCAUUUUAUGUUUGUUCGUCAAAUGUUAGCAUGGUUAAACGUUAAUUUGAGUUUGCAUGUCAUAAUAUUCGCAUGAUUGCUAUAGUAACAAAAGAAAAUAAUGAUGUAUGUGUACUAAAUGUGACAAUUAUGAUGAAAUCGAUGUGAGACGGUAGUGUAGUGUCCUAGUAUUUUGGUUCGACGACUAGGCUGGGUAUAAGGAGUUAUAGAUCGAGUCGAGUAUAGGUUGCUACAGUAAUCCUCCCCCAUGUAUCUGGGAAAAAGUUAUUAUUGCUCCUUUAUUCUGAUAAAUAUUUGUGUUAAGCCAGUGAACCAUUCACAAGCAAGACAAUAUUUCUAUGAAAGAGUAUAUUCUAACACUUACUACUUAGUUCAAUUCACAACAAACAUUUAGAGAGAAUAAUUUGAUUGAAUACUUCAACUAAUGACUGCUCUCCUUACAAAACAAUCAAGAGUCAGAGUAUUUGGAAUUUAAAAAGAAACUAUCAAAACAUAUGUUAUAUAGAGUCACUAUUAUGAAUACCAUUCGUAAAACAUGCCAAGAAGAGCAAAGAAGGAAACAGUCAAAUGCAAGGCAUUAAAGAAACGCAUAAAGUAUUAUUCAUAUAAAGAUAUAGUACAACAUACACCAAUUAUCAAUAUCUAAACCCUCACUAGAAUUUACAAGAGGCUUCUUAAUGGGUAGAUCCUUACCAACAUCAGAAGUAUUGGUUUCCCCCUCUGCUGCACCCUGGACUUCUAAGCUCUCCCCUUUGAGAAUGGUUGUUACACAUUGAGCUCUCAUCCUCUCGACAUACUCUUCCCACUUGUGACCAUCAGGAUAAAAAAAUCUAACUCGAGGUCAUCUCUCUCGUAAGUGUUAACCCAUUGAGUGGUUUAAUAUCUAUGUUGUGGAUGUAAAGAUGGCUAGAUGUAAUUGCAUUCACAUUGCUCUGUCUGCAGCUUCUCCCUCAACUGGGCCAAGGCUUUUUAGGCUACAUCUCAUUCCUUUUUAUAAGCAUUUGCUUGGCCUUUCCAAUACUUGAUGUCAUCCCAGGCCUUUUUCUCAACAGCUUUAAGCUUCCCCUUAGCUAUCUUUACCCAAUCCUCGAUGACUUUGAUCCUUAUUUUAGUUGUACUAGAGGAGUCAUGGAAGUCCACUAUAAAGUGCAUAGACAUCUCAAUAGUAACCCUUGUCCCCUUAAAGAGAUUUUUAAAGCCUGCACAAGUAUCACGUUACAUCCAUCAGGAUAUGAUAACAUAACUUGCAAGAAUUGUUCAUCACUCAUCUAAGGGAAGUAUUAUAGAGUCUGUUGUAUAGGAAGGCACCAAUUGUGUACUACCAAUAGGAGGGUUAGUAGAAGUUUUAGCAUAUUUAUCCUUCCCUUCGCCUCCUGUAAUGGGAGUUCUCCAUCCUUCACCUUUGGGAAGGGUCUACACUGAAUUGUCCUUCACCCUCUUCCCAAAGAAAGAUUUCGCAAUAAUAUUCCUCCCUAAACCAAAGGAGGCAUUUUUUGUAGUGUCAUCCCGUCCCCUUUUGGGAGGACGUUUUAUUGAGUUUUUUCCGCUAUUAAGGGUGCUCGCAGUGUUCGAUUAGGUAUCAAGGAGAUGCAUCUCUUUUUCCCAAGUAUAGUAAGCAAAACAUCAGCAGCAAUAGGGUAUUUGCUACUCGUCAUACCUUCCGAACCUACACAAAGAACAGAAGUUAGAAUAGUAUUAGUAUCAACACAAACAAACGCACAAGACAAACACUCACGUUGUUUUCGUUUCUUAGAAUGAAAGGGGAACACAAGUCCCUCAUUGUCAAUAUCUACAUCAACCUAGUGUAUACCCUUAGAGAGGAAUACUUCCAAGUGUUUCGUUUUAGCUAAACUAUAUUACAAUUUGACCCAUGUACUUACGAACACCACCAUUUUAAUCGUAUAUAUAUAUUUGGUAUUAUUUUUACUAUAAAUGAUAACUCUUUUAUAGGCGGUCAAGUUGUUGGUGUUGUUGUCAGGGAGGUUUCAAAAAUAAAUUUUAAAAAUAUUUUUUACAAUUAAUAAGAUAAGUAGGAACAUUAAAGCUUAUAGGUAUGAUUUUUUUUUAUUUUAUUGUUAGUAAAUUUAGAAGAGGAACAUUAUGGAAACUCUGAUGGGUAGAAAUAUUUUUUUAUAUAAAUUGGCUAAAACCUAGUAAUGCUCAUCUAGUAAUGAGUACAAUUCCAUUUAAGAUUAAUCUAUCACAGUUGGAUUCCUUUAAAUCCAGAAACUCGGAACCUUUAGGGGUUAAAUUGAAAGAGGCCAAAAGUUGGCGAUCUCUACUGAAAAAUCAGGAAAAGAUAACAAUUAAAAUUGGACAAGAUUGAGAACCAAGUAUGGUUCGGUUAGAUUAGAACCAUUCGGUUCCUUAGUGGGGAACAAAAUGAUUAAGAAUGGGUGGAUGUAAAACAGUUGAGGAUCAUGCGGGAAAGGCUAUACAUAGUUGGGAAAUGACUUCUCGGGAGACUUCUUCUCUAGUCUAUUUCAUUUUUCUUCUUUAUCUUCAUCCUUAGUAGCUCCUAGAAGAGAUGGCUAUCAGAAAGCUCUACAUGGAGCGAUAACAAUGGAAUUUCAGUAGGAAAUGAGGGGAGUUCAGUGAGCUGGUAAGGCUCUAAGCCAUUCAUGGUACAGAAUAUUUAGAAACAAAGUGAAGAGUUUCUAGAAACCAUUUUUAAGGGUUCCCAAUGUUUCUAGAAAACUAAGUUUAAAUGGAGAUUUUUUAGUUUAACCCAUGAUUUGGUUGUCAUGCUUAGCUGCCAGGAGAAUGGAAGCUCUAGUGUUUGGGAAAGGCGAAUAAGCAUCAGGUGAGUUUAUGUACUUAAACAUGGAACUAUCAAAUUUUAAUGCAUGGUUUCACAAGUUUAUGAGCAUCCACCAUUUUUUAGUAUACAUGGUAAUGGAAAAUAAUGAAACGGGAUCAAUGACGGGUUAGACGAAGUUAGGAAUGGGAAAAGAGAGUAAAUCUAUUUAAUACUGCCAUAUUGUAUUGCUGAAAGCAAAUCGUGAUGUGUGAAAAGGGCACUUCGGUGUUCAAGCAUCAAGGUAUAUGAUGGGGAAAUAUAGGAAUGGAUAAAAUGAAAUAGGAAGAGUAAAGAUCAUGGCUAUGCCAUGGGACUGAUCGGAGGCAAUUCGUCUAAACUGACUAAGACUAUAGUAGAAAGAUGUUAUGGCAUCAGGAUGAAAAUGAGUAAGACCAUGGCUGAAAGAUGUUAUGACAUCAUGGAAAAUAGGAGUAAGAGCAUAGUUGGACUAUGGAAACAUGGAAACCCAGGCUGUCCGUCGGGACAAUAAUAUUGGGGUAAUAAUGUGUAAGACCAUAGCUAAAAGAAGCUAUGGCAUCAUAGAUAAUCCAAUGAGACAUUCAAAUAGGAUAGUGUAACGGGAUGUUAAUCACGGGACAGUUCUUCAAGGCACUAAACACGGGAUAGUCUGUCGGGACAGUAAGCAACGGGACCAGGUGAGUAAAACCAUGGCAAGGUUAUGGUAGCUUGUGGAGACCAUCAAGAUUCUAAACAUGGAAUAGUCCACUGGGACAGUAAACACGAGCGCUUAUCCAAAAUGGUAAUUGUUGGAAAAGUUAAAACAAGGAAAAAGGUUAGAAGAAUGAUUAAAGUAUGUGGCACAAUGGAUAGCGAGUUGAAGGAAUCUGCCAAUAAUUGAAGAAUGUAAAGAAAAUGAGAAGCCACUACUAGAAUGGUAGGUUUGUAAGCCAGCAGGGCAUACAGGUGGUAACCCCACCAGAAAGAGUUAUGGGAAAGGACAUACUAGUAGUGUCUGGUGUGCAAGCAAAUACAGGAUGGCUAACCAUGGAUCAUAGAUAAAGAUCCGCCAUUACUAAUUGUCAAAAGGUGCUUAGAAAAACCCUGUGAGCUAGAGAUUUGAUAUAAGGUAUAUUUGUUAGUUUACGAAAAAAAGGGUUAGAGAGAACCCAUUAAAUGAAUGGUCGACACCAACACACUACCAAACAUGUUCAUGCAAUUUCCAUCGCUAGGAGAAGAAGAAGAUGAUGAGGAUGAGUCAGAGCCUAAUUCCGACUAAUUUUGAAUAAUUUUUAAUUUGGACAUUGUACUUAAGUUUGUUUCUUUGGGAUGAUGGUUAUUGGUUUGUUUUAAUUUUUUUAAGAACUUUGGUAUUAUAUAUAAAAAGAUAUUGCAUUUUUCUUAGCAAGAGCCCAAAUUUUUUGAUGGGCACUACCUAAAAGGAGUAUUCCCACCAAUCGAGCUGCACAAAUCACGCCAAUCAGGUGUAUCCUCUUUCCUUUAUAUUUUUAUUGUGCAUUAAGGGCAAUCUACUGAAUAAAGUGUGGGGUGACUUAGGAAAAUUUUUAAAAUUUUUUGUUAUUUUAUUUUCCUUUAUUUUAAGUAGUUUUUAAAUUUUUAAUUGCAUGUUUUCUAUAUGAUUGAGUUUGUAGAAAUACAAGUGAUUGGUUAUAAGCAUGUUAAUAGGAUUGUGUGAAUAAAUUGUAAAAAUAGUUUGAUAAUAAUUGUUUCUAAAUUUUUAAUUUUAGACUACUGAGUUUAAUUCAUUACAUUUUGAAUAGAUUUAAGAUGUUAAGUAUACCAUGUGAUAAAUAAAUAUAUAAAAAACAUGCAUGUUUAAUUGAAUUAUAAGCUAUAGAAAUUGAUAGACAUGGCGAAUUUAAUCCAUGUAUAGAAUUACCUAUGGACGACCUAAGGCAUUAUUUGGUAGACAACUUUUUAAGCCAAAAAGCUAUCCCGUAAAUAUUUUCCCUAGUACCUAUUUUGAGCCUUAAUCCAUUCUCUUAAUGAAACCGACAUGAAACCUUAAGCCUAUUACACAUUCUAUUUGAUCCCUUAUUUCUUUGUCCUUGCAUGGAUUUAGACGUCCAACCAUCGAUAUUGAGAGAUUAAGUACAUACAUCUCGGUGGUUUAAUAAAAAUAAAAAAAUUGAGUGAACUAAGGAAUUGUAAGGUAUAGUGAGUAUAAGAUUUUGAGCUUAUAGAAAAAUAAGGCAAAAUGCAAAUCGAUAAAAUAUUGAUGAAAAAUAAAAACAAACUAAUUUGGAAAAAAGUACGCUCAUAUUUGUUCAAAAACAAAUUACGAGCUCAAAUGAUUGUACUCAUGAAUAUUAUACGAUGCCUUAGUAUAUGGAGAAAUAAGGCAGGUGAGAGAAGCAGAUAUAAGGUGGUGAGCUUAUGUAUACUUUGGGGAGUUUUGGGAACAAUAUCAUAUGCCAAACUACCUUCGUGGUGAAUCAUUUUGUCGAGCCUCAUCUUUGAAUUCCAAACCAACCUCAGUUGCGGAACGUUAGAAGCCAAAAAGUGCUAUGUGACUUAGGUAGUACCUUACAAGGAUGAAAUUGUGUCGAGUCUUGAUGGUUUUACCACUUAUAGUCAUUUGAACCUACGUGUAUAUUUGUACAUAUAUUUUGAUGAAACCUUAUACUUAAAAUUGUUUUAUUUGUUUGGCUUGUAACUUGUCGAACUAACCCGUCUAACUUUAGAAAUUGUGAGUCAGUUGUAUAGUACUCUAGAAUUACAUAUUUAUUUACCUUGUCCUAUUAAUAUAUUUCUCUCCAAUUUCCUUUAUCAAGUUAGCUUGAGUACAUUUUCUUUCCUUUGUAUAAUUAUUUAUUAUUUUUCAGUAGUUCGCUUUUAGCUUUUAAUUUGUUUUUGUUUACUUCGCUUGAGGACAAGCAAACACUUAAGUAUGGGGAUAUUUGACUUGUCGUCAAAUGUAGUAGUUAAUUCAGGUUAUUUUCGCCCUUAAAGAGUUAUUUUUCUAGGUAAUUUAGUUUUUAAUAUUAUGUUUUCAUUAUUUAGUAUUUAGAAUUAAAUAUCAGUGAAAUAAGUGUUUUUAACAAAUUUUACGAGUGUUGUGACCCAUUAGGCCAACACAGGCCUCGAGUAGUGCUAAUAUGUUCAACUGAGUGUUUAAGAUGAAUGAUUAUAGGUGUAACAACCCAGUUUUAGUGGUGUCAAAAAUAGUGGUUUCAAGACCACGACUCCAACAAGUGAGUUAUUAUUUUAAUAAUUAUUUAAAGUCAAGCAUUUGAUUGUUAUUUUUGAGUGCAUAAUAGUGAGGUUUGCUUAAUUUUUCUUUUCAUGAGUGUUGUGUUCUUUUUAGGCUUUCACAAUGAUUCACAAUAUUAUGAUUGGGAAGUUGAGAAUGGAUCAAGAUGUUCAAAAUGCUCGAGAUUAGUAACGUGACACUAUUCUAUACACAAUCAACAAAAAUUUAAAAUGUCUAAGUACAAAAAUUGAGCGUCAGAAUCGUAAUUGGGGAGAUAAGAUUGAUCAGCCUUGUCUUCGUGCAAAUAAUGCUUGACGUGUCUCUCGUAAAAAUGAUAAGACUUUGGUUAAUAAUGAUUUUAGGCAACAUGUUUUAGCUAAACCAAAGUUCAACAUUCCACCAUUUUAAGGGAAGUAUGAUCCCAAAGCAUAUUGUGAGUGGGAAUCAAAAAUUGAACUUAUGUUUCAUUACUAUAAAUGUCGGGAAGAGGAAAAAUUCCAAUUGGAAUUGAUUGUCAAAUGAACUACGAAAGGGUAAUUGAAACAUAGGAUGAGUUGAAGCAAGUGAUGUGAAGCGUUAUGUUCCUUCUCGUCACUAUAGAAAGGUCUCAAUAAGACUUCAACACCUUGUUCAAGGUAAUCGAUUUGUUGAUGAGUACUUUAAAGAGAUGGAGAUGCUUAUGCAAAGAGAAAAUAUAUGGAAGGAUGAAUAAACUACCAUGGUGCGAUUUGUAGAUGGCUUGAACAUUUCGAUAGCCAAUGCUCUUAAUCUUCAAACCUAUAUUGAUCUUGAGGAGAUGGUACACAAGGUAAUUGAGACUAAGCAACAAUUUCAGCAACAUAAAUCUCGUCCACUUGGCGCAUCACACUAUUAUCGAGGUACAAGUUCUAAUUCUACUUUCAAGAAUUCAAAACCUUCUUAUGCUAUUAAUAAGUUGCUGCCAAAACAUGCUAUGACUAAACCUUUUGAGUGGAAAAGUAAGGCUCUUACAGAACAUUCUUCUACAUCUUUCAAGCAACUCAUUUCUACUAAUUUUUCACUAAAACAACAAAGAGCUUGAGACAAUGAAUGUUAUACGUGUAAAGGGAGUGGACACUAUAGUCGUGAUUGUGCCAACACGAGACUUUUGUUGAUCAAAGAAGAUGACGAACUUUGUGAAUCAGAAAAAAAUGAUAAUGAGAAUUCUUUCCUUGAAUCUAUAGAGUUAGAUGAAAUAGAAAUGUCAUGCUCUCCUACUGAGAUAUAUUGUAUUGAAUUGAAUAUUCAUAAUACUUGUGAGAGGGAUAUGGGAAGUGAGAAAGAAUCAUGUGAAAAGACAGAGAGAAAAGAGACCUUAAGUGAUAAAAGUCUACUUGAUGGUCCAAAUUUGGUGAGUGAAAAUCCAUAUGAGUUACAAUUGGAGAGUUCUCAAGUGGAAAGAGAAAAUAAAAAGUAAGAAAAUACCCAUUCAAAAGUAAGGAGUGAUUAUGUUUUAACUAACCCUAACUGUAAUGCCACAAAAUUUUUAAUUUCAUUAUUGUGAAAAUAUGACACAUAUUUGUCAGCUUUAGUGGUUAUGUGUUCUUGGAGUGUUUGGGAGGUCCCAAGUUCAAGCCUUCGUUUGGGAAAAUUUUGGUAUUUUGAAUGAAUUAGGCCUUACUCUUGUUAAGUAAGCUUUUAUUUGAUUGUUAGGUAAAUUACAUCAGAAUGGGCAUGCUGGUCUGGUGGUUAAAUGGUGUGUUAUUAUGGUAGAGGUCUUGUGUUCGAAUUCCUAUGCAGGCAAGGGUAUUAUUUUUUUGCUCUGAUAUCGGCAUAAGUUGUGUAAUAGGGGGAUUUUGAGUAGUGGAUGUGUAGUGGGAAUUAGGGGAGAAGAUUAAGGGAUUUUGGGGGUUAUCGGGAUUUUAUUUUAUUUUUUUCCUAUAAUCGAAUUUUGACUCUCUUUUCCAAAAAAAUUAUGCCAUCUAUUCUUCUCCCUCACCUCUUGCCGAAAUUCUCUAAUUUUUUCCAUCUUUCUCUUCUUUUUUUUCUUCUUGAUUUUUCCUUCAUCCAUUUAUUUUCCUUCGUUUUCGCACGCGGUUGGUGCUCGCUUAGUUUCAAUAAGUGUUUCUCUUCGUUUCUGUCAUGAAUCUCUUAGCGACUAAAGUGGUAAUGUUUUUUCGGUAAGUGUUUCCCUUCGUUUCUGUCAUGAAUCUCUUAGUGACUAAAGUGGUAAUGUUUUUUCUCUGUGAUUUGGGCGUAGGAGGAGGCUCAGACUGGUGAAUUCAGUGUUCUCAUCUUAACAAUAGUUAAACUGAGGAUUAUCGUUGGUGGUAAGUUGGGUUUUUGUUCGUUCUUGGUUGUCAAUUCGUUUGUAAAUCCGUAAAAUUGAUGUUGAGUAUCUUGAUUAUAGGCUUUGGAGUGCUCGGGAAUUGUUUUAGCAUCAAAUAAAACCAGGUGUGUACCCAAAAUGACAAAAAAAGGGAUUCAACAAAAAGCUGAAAUUGCUUGCUGUUUGGACAACAGUAGUAGGCUAAUUUUGAAAAAUUGCCAUAAAUUGAGGAAAUCGUAUUAAUGAUGAAAAAAAUAUGGAAUUAAAGUUUAUUGAGUCUAGUUUCUCAUAGAAGAAACGGUGUAAAUAAUGAGUUCGGGUUUCCCUGUUCUGACUUUAGAAAAUCAUCAAAAAUUAGAGAAAAAUAAUUAGGGGUUAAAAUUUACAAGUUUAAAUUAUUAAUGAGUCUAUUUCCAGUAGAAACAAAUGGGUACUUCAUCCAAAUUUUUUACUAAGAGAUAAUUAUUUUUUAGCAAAGAAGGGUCGAAGCUGUCAGACAACAGAACAAGGGUAAGUUUUAAGAUUUUACUGUAUUUAUUGGCUAAACAAAAAAUUCUACAAAUUUUAUGGUAGAAAGGUAUUUGAGUCUAGUUUCAAAAACGUCAAGCGAAUUUUAAUUCGGAAUUCUGUAGCUCAAGAUGUAAAUAAUUUAGUAACAGUGACGCAAGUAGACAGCUUUGAAGGAACACAUAAAUAAAUAGUGAAAACAUAUAUGAAUAUUUAGCUAGCACGGGUUACAUUAAAAAUGGAUCACGUGGCCAAGGCCAAUUUGGCCCAAGUGGGCAACAUGGGCAUGUGAGCCUAUUUUUCUGAAAAUUUUUGUAAGGUUGCACUAGUCGCCCAAGUCGACUGUAGACCAACUGUAGGGUCGGUUGGUGAUAUCUAAAUGUAUGUACUAUGAAUUGCAUAAUGGCAUGACAUAUUUUGUAUGUUGCAUUGCAUCGGAGUGGGUUGAUGAUAUUUGGAGGAAGUGUCUGAAAGGCUAUUCAGCCUAUUAUCUGGCAGCUUAGCUGCAACCUUCUGAUUAUGUGCCACAUUUCAGUACAGCAUGGUGUGUAGGGAUAGGUGGGUUGAUUUAAUCCCCACAUGGUGUGUAGGGUUGGACAGAGAUGGUGUGUAGAGGCUGGUGGGUAGGAUUCUGAUUUACUGUAUUUGCAUUCUGUAUCUAAUAUAGGCCAAGGCCUUAAUGUAUUUCUAAGACUGUAUCUGAACAGGCUAAGGCCCAAACUAAUUCUGUGAUGGGCACAGGCCCAGACUGUAUCUAACUGAAUUAUGUUGAUUAUCUGUAUGCAUGUUUUCUGUGCGGAUUACACACCGAGUUUGUAAAAACUUACCCUUUCUCUAUUUAAUCUGUUCAGGUAAUCCCCAUACUUGACGGGUCAGUGUAGCGGAGGACUCGACCGUGGCCACACGUAAAUUUUAGACUGUUUUCUGUUAAUGUCUAGAAUUUAUUACUUAUUUGGGGUUUUUUAUGUAACUUUUGGACUAUGGACUGGUUGGCUUUAAGUUUGGGACUUUAUACUAUUUUUAUGAAUUUUUUAAACUGCAACUACACAAUUUUUCAAAAACUAAGGUUUUCGUAAAUAAAAGCGAUUUUCCCUAAAUUAAUUGGUUACAAAAGCUUCCGCUAAGAGACAAGUUUUAAAGCAAAUCAACUAGUACUUAUUUUUUUCUGAAUUAAAUAAAAGUUAACUAACUGUAACGGUUUUAACUCGACAAUCUUGUCUUCAAAUCCCAUUUCAUGUGACAUCGCCAGAUUCAGCCUUAACAUCUAGGCUGGGUUUGGGGUGCUACAUUUAGUGGUAUCAGAGCAAGGUUGCAAAACUAGACUGUGGAUUUGGGUUUUAAAAAUUGGUUUUAAAGAAAUGAUUUUUAAAUGGUUUGAAAUAUUUUUGACUGAGUAUGUGGUACACCGAGUCUCCGGCGUCAAUUCUGUAAGUGUUCUAAAAACUAUGAUAAGUUUUUAAAAAUAUGAGUAGCGUAUUCUGAAACUAUUAUAGGUAGUAUAUUGUACUGAGAACAUUGUAGAUAGUGUAUAGUGAAAAAAGUAGCAAAAUUGAAAACUGUAGUAAGACUGCGAUUCGUGAUAACAAACUCUAAACUUCUAAUACUAUUUUGCAUAAAAUAUUUACUAAUAGAUAUCAAAACUGUAACUAAUUCAUAAAACUAUUAACACAGACAAGUUACGAAUUCUAAGAUGAGCGCACGAGGUAUUCGCGAACAGGAUACUAGAGGCCGAGGUAGAGGCUGUAGAGGGGCUCGAGCUGAGUCCUUGUCGUUAGGUAGCAUGCCAAAUCUAGAUAUGUGCGAGACGCCGGUUUCACCUGCUACAGAGGCUGGGUCUCAUGAUCAUAUGGCCAGGGACAACACCUUGUCCUAGGCUAUGCUGAGGAUAUUAGAGAGGGUCACUCGGCCCAACACUAGAUCUGAGAGUCGAAGGUGAGUUACAGGACGACUCCGAUCUAAUAGGGCUGAACUAUUCAGGGGUGUCACUAGAGUCGCCCCUAGCCUGGUCGAGUACUGGAUGGAGGCCACGGAAAGAAUCGUGGACGAUCUAGACUUUACCCUUGAACAGAAAUUGAAAUGGGCUAUUUCCUUGCUUCGCGAUGAAGCAUGCCAAUGGUGGCUGACUGUUAAGGAGGGCACUCAGCCCGAAUGAUUGACAUAAGAUUUCUAUAAGUCUGCUUUCUAAGGUAAAUAUGUAGGGGCAAGCUACAUCGAUGCUAGAAGACGUGAGUUUCUGAAUCUCACACAAGGGGAUCGUUCAGUGGCCGAGUAUGAGGUCGAGUUUCUGAGAUUGAGCCGCUAUGAGUGAGGCAUGGUGGCGACUGGAUAUAAGCACUGUGUCCACUUCGAGGAUGGACUCAGGGAUAGUUUGAGAGUUCUGAUAGCUCCGUAGAGGGAGCAUAACUUUUUAGCAUUGGUAGAGAACGCGAAGAUCACCGAGGAGGUGAAGCACACUGAGCGGCAAAACUGGGAUAAGGAGAGAGGCAAGAAUAAGAGGGAUUCGGAGCCCUCGAUUUCUGGGAUGAGGCCUAAGAAAAAUGACAGAUCUGGUGGGAUAGUUAGAGUUAGGGCCCCUGUUGCAUCUACUGGAAUCACGCUUUGCGGACAUUGUGGAAGGCGCCAUCUGGGUGAAUGUUGGAGGACGACUGGGGCUUGUUUAGGAUGUGGGUCUACUGAGCACUGUGUUGGGGAGUGUCCGCUGAGGACCAAUCAGGUGCAAGUUACGGGUUCUGGUACUGCACAGCCAUCGAGGGUAGUUCAGCAACCGCCUAGGGGCCGUGAUCAGGCUAGGAGUGAUAAUGGUAUGGGUUAUGGGCAGAGAGCACCAGGCAGAGGUACUGGACAGGCUGAAGCGAGAUAAUCGGCCCUAGUUUAUGCUACUCGUCGCCAAGAGGAUAGAGAUGCUCCGUACGUCAUCACGGGUACGUUUCUUAUUUUUGUUGUGCCUUACACUGCAUUGAUAGAUAUAGGAUCUACGCAUUCCUAUAUUGUCUGUUCUAUUUUCAAAAACCUAGAGAUUCUGGUUGAGAGUACUUUUAGUGAGGUGACUGUGCUGAGCCUGCUGGGGCAAUUUGUUACAUUUACCAAACUGUACAGAGAUGUUCCCUUAGAGGUUCAAGGGGCAGUAUUUCAGGCUGAUUUGAUGGAGCUUCCAUUUUGGGAGUUUGAUAUGAUAUUGGGGAUGGACUGGUUGGUCAAGAAUCAUUUCAGUUUGGAUUGUGCGACUAAGAGGGUCGUAUUGAUAACUGAAGGGGGUAAUAUAGUUGUGAUUGGGGAACGCCGGAAUUACUUAGCUAACAUGAACUCUACACUGGUAGCUGAGAAACUGGUUCGCAAGGGAUGUGAUGCGUAUUUGGCCUACGUAAGUGUUUUCGCUGCUUGGGACUCUACUAUUAAGGACUUCAUAACUGUGAGGGAUUUUUUAGACGUCUUUCCUGAGGAGCUACCAGUUUACCUCCAAAUCGAAAGUGGAGUUCUGGAUUGAGCUUUACCCUGGUACAGCUCCGAUGUCUAUCGGUCCCUAUCGAAUGGUACCGAAGGAGCUUACUGAUCUCAAGGCUCAAAUUCAAGAGUUAUUGGAUCAUGGGUUCAUCCGCCCUAGUGUGUUCCCAUGGGGAGCACCGAUACUGUUUGUUAAGAAAAAAAAUGGAUCCAUGAGGAUAUGUAUCGACUACCAACAACUAAAUAAGUUGACUAUUAAGAACAAGUAUUCACUUCCAAGGAUUGAUGAUUUGUUUGACCAGUUCCGAGGGGUGUCUGUUUUUUCCGAAAUUGACUUGUGUUCUGGGUAUCAUCAGUUGAGGGUUAAGGAGGCUGAUGUGCAUAAGAUGACAUUUAAGACUCGUUAUGGUUACUACGAGUUCCUAGUGAUGCCAUUUACAUUGACUAAUAUACCGACAACUUUCAUGGAUCUGAUGAACCGAGUGUUUCAGCCCUAUCUAGAUCAGUUUGUAGUGGUGUUCAUUAAUGACAUAUUGGUUUAUUCGAGGACUGAGGAUGAGCAUGACGAGCACCUUAGGAUUGUUCUUCAUAUUUUGAGGGAAAAACAGCUCUAUGCUAAGUUCAGUAAGUGCGAGUUCUGGUUACAUGAAAUAACAUUUCUAGGUCAUGUGGUGUCUGCUGAGGGAAUUCGCCUAAGAAUGUGUCUGAGAUCUGCAGUUAUUUGGGGUUGGCAGAUUAUUAUCGACGGUUUGUGGAAGGAUUUUCACUGAUCGCAGCACCCUUAACUAAGCUGUUAUGUAAAGGUGUACCAUUUGACUGGACUAAUGCGCAGCAAGAGAGCUUUCAGAAGCUUAAGACUGUACUGACUAAGGCUCCUGUUUUGGUACAGCCUGAACCUGGAAAGGAGUUCACUAUUUAUAGUGAUGCAUCACAUGUCAGUUUGGGAUGUGUAUUGAUGCAAGAUGGUAAAGUGGUUGCAUAUGCGUCUCGUCAACUUAAGACACACGAGGCAAACUAUCCGACGCACAAUUUGGAGUUGGCCGCCGUAGUCUUUGCAUUGAAAAUCUGGAGGCAUUAUCUAUACGGUGAGAAAUGUAUUAUUUACACUGAUCAUAAAAUCCUCAAGUAUCUCCUCACUCAGAAUGAGUUAAAUCUUAGGCAGCAUAGAUGGGUUGAGCUACUUAAGGAUUAUGAUUGUACCAUUGAGUACCAUCCUGGCAAGGCCAAUGUGGUGGCCAAUGCAUUGAGCCGUAGGGCUAUGACCGAUCUGAGAGUGAUGUUCGCUCGACUUAGCCUAUUCGACGAUGGAAGUCUAUUGGCAAAACUUCAGGUCAAACCGACAUGGAUUGAAUAGAUUCGAGGUAAACAGUUGGGGGAUAAGUCUCUCAGGUUGUGUUUUCGUCAGGUUGAGAAUGGUGGCACUACUGAUUUUAGGAUAAACAGUGAAGCAGUACUUUGUUUUUGUUGUCAGAUUUGUAUAUCGAAUGAUGAUGAUUUAAGGCAAUCGAUUCUGAGAGAGGCGCAUGGUAGUCCCUAUACUAUGUAUCCCGGUUGGAACAAGAUGUACCGAGAUCUUUGGGAAUUGUACUAGUGGCCAGGGUUGACGCAUGAGGUUACAGACUUUGUUGGUCGCUGUUUGACUUGUAAGCAGGUUAAGCCUGAGCAUCAGUUACCUUCGAGUUUGCUGCAGCCGGUUAAGAUACCGUUAUGGGAGCGAGUAACGAUGGACUUCGUUAGUGGGUUGCCUCUAACACCCACUAAGAAGGAUUCUGUCUGGGUACUCGUGGAUCAAUUGACAAAGUCUACUCACUUCAUCCCAGUAAGGACAGACUUUUCUCUUCAAAAAUUAGCUAAGCUCUACAUAUCGAAAAUAGUGAGACUACAUGGGGUACCUGUCUUGAUCAUUUUCGAUAGGGAUCCUCGUUUCACGUCUCGGUUCUAGAAUAAGCUUCAUGAGGCUCUGGGUUUAAUAUUAGACUUCAGUACUGCUUUCCAUCCUCAGACAGAUGGUCAGUUGGAUAGGGUGUAGAGGACAUGUUGAGGAGCUAUGUUAUUGAUUUUCGAGGCAGUUGGGAUGAGUACUUGCCGUUAGCGGAGUUUUCCUACAAUAAUAGCUUCUAGUCUAGCAUCCGGAUGGCACCUUACGAGGCACUGUAUGGUCGUAAGUGUCGCACUCCUUUAUGUUGGACAGAGUUGGGCAAGUGACGUGUUCUAGGUCCUGAGUUGGUCUCUGAGACAGAGGAUAAGGUUAGAUUGAUUCGAGAUCAUUUGAAAGCAGCUUCUGACAGGCAGAAAUCUUAUAUGGAUUUGAAGAGGCGUGAGAUCAGGUAUUCUGUGGGGACUUAGUUUUUCUUAGGGACUCGCCAUGGAAAAAGGUUCUAAGGUUCGGUCGCAAGGGCAAGCUGAGCCCUCGUUUUGUUGGACCUUACCGCAUUCUGAAAUGUGUGGGACCUGUUGCUUAUCAGUUGGAGUUACCUCCGAAGUUGGACCGUAUUCAUAAUUUUUUUCACGUCUCGAUGUUGAGGCACUAUCGCUCUAAUCCCAUGCAUGUUGUUUUUAUUGAGGAGAUUGAGGUUAGGCCAGCCUUGACCUUUGAGGAGGAGCCAGUUCAGAUUCUGGAGCGUGAUGUAAAGGUCCUUCUAAAAAAGUCUAUUCCCUAGUGAAAGUUCUGUAGCGUAAUCAUAGCAUUGAGGAGGCCAUGUGGGAGCCUAAAGAUACGAUGCGUCAGCAAUAUCCUUAUCUGUUCUGAUCAGGUAGAAUUUCGAGGACAAAAUUUUCUUUUAAGGGGUAGAGUUGUAAUGCCCCAAAAAUUCUCAUUUCGUUAUUGUGAAAAUAUGACACAAAUAUUUGUCAGCUUUAGUGGUUAUAUGUUCUAGGAGCGUUUGGGAGGUCCCAAGUUCAAGUCUUCGCUUGGAAAAAUUUUGGUAUUUGGAAUGAAUUAGGCCUUAAUCUUGUUCAGUAGGCUUUUAUUUGAUUGUUGGGUAAAUUACAUCAGAAUGAGUCUGCCAGUCUGGUGGUUAAAUGGUGUGUUAUUAUGGUGGAGGUCUUGUGUUCGAAUCCCUAUGCAGGAAAUGGUAUUAUUUUUUUGCUCAGAUUUCGGGAUAAAGUUGUGGAUGUGUAGUGGGAAUUAGGGGAGAAGAUUAAGGGAUUUUGGGGGUUAUCGUGAUUUUAUUUUAUUUUUUCCCAUAACUGAAUUUUUGACGCUCGUUUCCAAAAAAAUUUUGCCGUCUAUUCUUCUCCCUCUCCUCUUGCCAAAAUUCUCUGAGUUUUUCCAUCUUUCUCUUCUUUUUCUUCUUCUUGAUUUUUCCCUAAUCUAUUUAUUUUCCAUCAUUUUCGCACGCGGUUAGUGCUCACUUAGUUUCAGUAAUUGUUUCUCACCGUUUCUAUCAUGAAUCUCUUAGUAACUAAAGUGGUAAUGUUUCUUCGCUGCGAUUUGGUCGUAAGACGAGGCUCGGACUGGUGAAUUCAGUGUUCUCAUCUUAAUAAUAGUUAAACGGAGGGUUAUCGUUGGAGGUAAGUUGGGUUUCUGUUCGUUCUUGGUUGUUAAUUCACUUGUAAAUCUGUUAAAUUGAUGUUGAGUGUCUUGAUUAUAGGCUUUGGAGUGCCCGGGGACUGUUUUCUCAUCAAACAAAACUAGGUGUGUACCUGAAAUGCAAACAAAGGGAUUCGGCGAAAAGCCGAAAUUGCUUGCUAUUUGGACAGCAGUAGGCUAAUUUUGAAAAAUCGCCAUAAAUUUUGAAAAUUGAAUUAGAGGAUGAAAAAAUAUGGAAUUAAAGGUUAUUGAGUCUAGUGUCUCAUAGAAGAAAUGGUGUAAGUAAUGAAAUUGUAAAUCGUGAGAUAUAAUAAUGUUUGUGAGACAAGGUUAGAAUGAAUUCGAGUUCCCCUGUUCGGACUUUGGAAAAUAAUCAAAAAUUGGAGAAAAAUAAUUAUAGGUUAAAAUUUACAUGUUUAUAUUAUUAAUGAGUCUAUUUUCAAUAGAAACAAAUGGGUACUUUAUCCAAAUUUUGUACUAAGAGAUCAUUAUUUUUUAGCAAAGAAGGGUCGAAGCUGUCAGACAGCAGAGUAGAGGUAAGUUUGAAGAUUUUACUAUACUUAUUGGGUGAACCAAAAAUUCUAUAAAUUUUAUGGUAGAAAGGUAUUUGAGUGUAUUUUCAAAGACAUCAAGUGGAUUUUAAUUUGGAAUUUUGUAGCUCAAGAUAUAAAUAAUUUAGUAACAGUGUCUCAAGUAGACAGCUUUGGAGGAACACAUAAGUAAAUAGUGAAACAUAUAUGAAUAUUUAGCUAGCACAGGGUACAUUAAAAAUGGAUCACGUGGCCAAGGCCAAUUUGGGUCGAUUGGGUUACAUGGUCGAGUGGGCCACAUGGGCGUGUGAGCCUAUUCCUCUAAAAAGUUCUGUAAGGUUGCAGGGGUCGCCCAAGUCGAUGGUGGACCUAUUGUAGGGUCGGUAAGCUUUACUUAGACCCCUAAAUGUGUGAUCUGUUUGACCGAUUUCUAUACCGAGCAUGACUUAUGAUAUCUGAAUGUAUGUACUGUUAAUUGCAUAAUGGCAUGACAUAUUUUGUAUGUUGCAUUUCAUCGGGGUGGGUUGAUGAUAUUUGGAGGAAGUGUCUGAAAGGCUAUUAAGCCUAUUAUUUGGUAGCUCAGCUGCAACCUUCUGAUUAUGUGCCGCAUUUCGGUACAGCAUGGUGUGUAGGGAUGGGUGGGUUGAUUUAAUCCCAACAUGGUGUGUAGGGUUGGACGGAGAUGGUGUGUAGAGGCUGGUGACUAGGAUUCUGAUUUACUGUAUCUGCAUUCUAUAUAUGAUAUGGGCCAAGCCCUAAUAUAUUUCGGAGACUGUGUCUAAAUGGGCGAAGGCCCAAACUAAUUUUGUGAUGGGCACAGGGCUCAAACUGUAUCUAAAUAAAUUUUGUUGAUUAUCUGUAUGCAUAUUUUUUGUGGGGAUUACACACUGAGUUUGCGAAAACUCACCCUUUCUCUGUUUAAUCUGUACACGUAAUCCCCACACUUGACGGGUCGGUGCAGCGGAGGACUCGACGGUGGCCACACGUAAAUUUCAAAUUGUUUUCCGUUAAUGUCUAGAAUGUAUUACUUAUUUGCGGUUUUUUAUGUAACUUUUCGACUAUGGACUGGUUGGCUUUAAAUUUGGGACUUUAUACUGUUUUUAUGGAUUUUUUUAAACUGUAACUCAACAAAACACGGUUUUUCUAAAAACUAAGGUUUUCAUAAAUAGAAACAAUUUUCCCUAAAUUAAUUGGUUACAAAAGCUUCCUCUAAGAGACAAGUUUUAAAGCAAAUCAACUAGCACUUAUUUUUUCCGAAUUAAAUAAAAGUUAACUAGCUGUAACGAUUUUAACUUGACAAUCUUGUCUUCAAAUCCCAUUCCAUUCCGCAUCGCCAGAUUCGGCCAUAAUGUCUAGCUCGAGUAUGGGGUGCUACACUAACCCAAAUUUGUUUAAUGGUGUUUCUUCAUUACAGGACUUCAUGGAUCCAUUGACGGACUUUCAAUUAUAUUACUCUACCAUCGAUAGACGAUUUUACUUGUGGGAAAAAGGUAAGUUGAAUAUUGAUAAUUCCCCACAAGUGCUACAAGAUAAAGAAUGUAAGGAAACAACAUAAAUUAAUUUAAGAAGGCAUACCUUGAAUGUUUUUGAUAAGUAUGCUACGGAUUUUGUUUGUCAAAUAUUUUCUUACAACAUGUUUUCUCAUUUGUCAAAUUUCAUUAAACCAUGUUCUGAAAGUUCAACUGAUUUUAUGGGUUUAUCUACCUUUGUAAAGGUUAAAAAUAGUAAUUUUGUUGCAUCAAAUAGGUUUUUAAAAGCAUUUUAUAUAUCUCCUCUUACAACAAAAUUUUCUAUCUUGACCAUUAACGAUGAAUUUUUACAUAAUAAUAUUAAUAUUUUUAUUUUUAUAAUUAUGUGAAAUUCUUGACUUAUCGUUCGAAAAUUCUUAUGGAUGACCGUGCAUAUUCAAAAAAAGUUACAAGUUAUUUUUUACUUGAACACUCAUGUUCAUUAUAUUUCUUUGUUUAGUGUUGAGGGUUUGUUUUUGAAUAAGAGAUACUUGAUCCAUGCUGAUUUGGGAGAUCAAAAUCAUAUAUUUGAUCCUAAAAAUAAUUUUGGCGCACAAGAAGGCUUAGGUAAGUAUUUGUUUCAUUUGAUUGUUAUUUAUUCUAAUCCCUUUUAAUUUUGUGUAGCUAAAGAUUCGGGGACAAAUCUUCUUAAGGAAGGGGGGAAUGAAGCGAGUCUCAAUGCCCAAUGUUAGACCCAUGAAUGUGAUGGGAUCACACUACCUCAAGGCUCAACAACAAUGUCAAAGGCUAAGCAAAUCAAAUCAGCUUUUGAUCAAAUACAAGUUCGAGGAUGAAUCUUUUUGAGGAAACGGGGAAAGAUACAUGCACGGAUCGAGUGAAAUUUAUUAAAUUUCAUUCACUGAAGCUGUCAAUUUUCAAGCUUGGGAAAUUAGUAGACUUGUGAUGACUUUUUCAAUGGGAUCUUGACAUUUAUGGGUUGAGAUGUCUCAUGGCGUUUGAAGAUGUAUCUCUUAGCCUUGAAAUGCAUUUUAAGUCACUCGAUUUUGAGUCUAGGAGCUCAAGUUAUGACCGUUUUAGUGAAGACUAUACGAGCAGAAUUUUUGAACGGGAUUAUGACAGGAAUUACAAGUUUCGGGCUUUUAAUUCGAGUUUAAAUCAUAUUGGGUUCGGGUUUUAGGCUUAAUUUUUAUUACAUAUGAGCCCAAUAUUGUAUUUAUCAUUACUUAUUAUUUUAUUUCAAUUGUUUUAUAAUUAUUAAUUAUUUUAAGUUAUUUAGGAGUUUUAUGUUAACAAGAAAGUUUAGUUUAAAACUACUUCUUAUUUAGAUUAAAUUAGAGUUCUAGUAUACUUAAGAGUUUUAUUUAGAUUUAUUUAGCUAGCCUAUAUAUAGGUAUUUGCAUUGCACACAAUUCAUUCAAUUCAUUAUUAUUCAACUUCUCUUUUAAGUUUAUAAUUUAUCUUUAAGUUUUCUUUUUUUAAGAAUUUCUCUUGAGUUUCUUUUAGAAGAGUUUUAACAAUCUUUUUAGAUUGUGGGGGUCAUAUUCAAACUUUUUCUUGCCAAGGUUUCUAUCUUGAAAGGGAAAUUAGAGCCACUUGAGUGGGGUUGUGGAUUCUUCAUGUUUCUGAGGCUUCUUAGGACUUCUACACGCCACGUUCUAUCUUUUCAUAUCUUCUUUAUUUUCUUCCUUAUUGUUUUAAUCAUAGAUUUAUUAUUCUAUUUUAAUUAUCUUAGUUAUUUAGUUUAAUUAUUUUAUCUAACUUGGAUUUAAUUGCCUUCCAAGUUUCUUUCCGAACAUCUAGAGCCCUAAGUCAAAUCUGUGACUUUGACAAACUUUACAAUCCGCUUCUGCAUUCAUCCGUCUCAUUCUUUAUCAUUUGGUAUUAGAUUUUGGCGUUUUAGGUUUUCUUUUUUUCUUUUAUAAACUGAUUUCUAGCAAACAACCUCAAUACAAUUUUUUUACAUCGACUAGCUACCCAAGUGUUGAGCUAUAAGAAUCCGGUAAGUCUAUGGCAAAUUGAUGAGGUAACAAAUGGGACCAUACCUCUAGCAGGUAUAACGACAGGUAGAAUCUUGACCUUCCUCCACCAUAAUACUUGGGAUGCCUCAUGAGGAGGCCCCUGCACCACAGCAUCCUCUGCAUUUCCUUUUCCGUUGUAGUGCACCUACAUUCACCAAUUGCAUCGAUUCAUCUACAUCCCUUAGGUGUUCAAGGAUUUGCUCUUUAUUACUCCUAGUCAUUGUUGUUCUCCUGGAUUAGUCGUUCUCGCUCUAUUGUUAAUGGUAGAGUACCUACCUUCAUCAUUUUGUGACGUAGACCUACCAGUUUAUCCUCCUUUCUUGACAAGUUUAACAAUUUUUUCGAUGACAUCGCAAAAACAAUGAUGAAAUAAAGCAAAUCUUAAACUGCAUUUACUAAGAAGAAGUUCUAAGUAGCAGAAAAAUAAGAACUUUAAAAUGACAAUGUGGUUUCAAGGAAGAUAAAGUUCUUGAUUUAUAGAUUUUUCAAUGCUCCUUCUUAAAUGCACAAUUUUGGGAACCAAUAGCAUCUUGCCACCUAUAUAGUUUCAAAUACUCUUCAUCAUGGUUGUUUUUUCAUAAAAAUACUUUGCAUUUAUGAUAGUUAUUGUCAGACCCCAAGUUUAGCGGAUCCAAGGUUAAGGUGUAUAGUAAUGAAAUAAUUUGUUUGGCGAAGUGUAAUUCUCCCAAUUGCUUAUUUUGGAAAAUAUGUGCAGGUGUAUACUAAACAUCGUGUAAAUAAGUGAAAAAUCCAUUUGAGAUUAUUCUAUUAUUUAAAAAUAAAAAAAUUUUAAGCAACAUGGUAAUUAUGGUAUGAAUUAUAACCGAAUGCAAAGUACGCCUUGCAUGCCUUAGUACUGUGUUGCUUGGGUUAUAAAGUGACCUGGUUAAGAACCAACUAGAUUGACUGGUCUAACCUCUAUAAUGAAGGAUUUUCAUUAAUGUUUCUCUCGGAAUCUGUAGGUCAUUAAGAAAGACAAAUUCUGAAUUAAGUCACACUUGUUGAGUUCCACUAAGCGAGGUUGGGUUAUAUAUGUGUGAGAAGGGUUCUGAAAUAAGAUUCUACUUUCUCAAAAAUGUUACUCUUUGAUUUUUUUCUUAAAUCCAAUUGUAUGUCUUCCUCAUUAAGCUAGAAGCAAAGGUUCUUAGUUUAACCAGUGGUCAUUCCAUCUCCAGGUAAGUAUUACAGAUGUGCAUGCUAGGUUCUGAAAGUGUAAGUCUGUAAAAGGUAUAUGAAUAGUAAGUUGUAAGUACAAGGCUUUGCGUGGGGGUUAUUAGUUAUUGAGAUGAUAGUAAUUUGUAUGUGAAUGAGUUUUUAUGGUGAUCAUAUGUUCUUUAAGCAGUUGUUGUUGCUGGUUCAAAAAGGAUAUCUAAGUCUAGAGUUUCAAUCUUUAGUGGGUGAGUAUCAGGUGAGUCUCUAUCCUGACUCUUGCAUAUGUAAUGUACAAAUAGAAUGUUGGUGGUAAGCAUGGAAGUAAUGUCUUAUAUGAAAAGUAUGAAUUAGUUAGGAGUGCAAAAAAAAUUGGGUAAGUGAAUACUGAAUAAACUUUCAUUUGGGAUGCCUCUAUUAGGGCAGUUAUAUUGCUAACCAGUGUGACGCCCUCAACCCGACCUGAUUCAAUAGGUCCAAAUCUCAGGUUUUACACAUACACUAAUUAAUAAUCUAAAAAAUUGUUAACAAUUUCUCAUUUCUCUAAUUAUUUUAUUUAACCUUUUAACUAAAAAUUUUAUCAUUUGAUAACCAAAGAAGUGUUAUAAAAUAACUUGUUACAACAGACUUGAUACAAAUCUUUACAAUAUAGAAGUUUAUUAAGGACGAUCAUACAAGGCACAAUCCUAGACUACGGCAUAUUUCCACUGUAUGCAUAAUAGACCUCUUCGCCAUUACGUUGGCAUACUCCUAGCAUCAUCCUUCCUGGCGCAACUUGUGUCGAAUACUUGAAACAACAAUGAACAUGGUAAGUUUAAGAGAUCUUAAUAAACCUUAUCACGGAAUUACCUGGGUGGAUACUUUAUUUUCUUAUAAGAACUUCUAUUCCUCGACCAUCCUUCUGAAUCAUUUAUUUCGAGCGGAUUUCUCUACAAUAUUCUUUAUCUAACUAACUGAAGAUCCUUCCAAACAUUUUGUAAAUACCUUUAUUUCAUAUAUACUUCUCAAAAGAUCAUACCUUCAGAUACAUCACAUCUGGUGAAUACUUAUAUAGAACUAAUUACCAUCAAUUUAUUAACCAAGUCAUUUCUAAAUUCAAUAUCAUACAACCCACACUUGUAAUGCACCACAUAAACCCAUUAGAAGAAUUCCACAUUAAUUAUUUUCAGAAACAUAUAUACUCAGAAUACCCAUAACUUAGACUUUAUACAAUUUCAGAAAAGAUCAUUACAAUCGAAACAUAACCUCAAUAUGACAGAUUCCAAGUAACUUUGAUUCAAUCAUUUCAUAACACAGAUAAUCUCACAUUGACAAUUUCUUAUGCCACACAUAACUACAAAUAUAACCAUAUCUAACGUUGUCAGAUCAUUGUGGUAGAUACCUUCAUUAUCAUAUAGCUACACAGUUCUUUCCAAAAACUUAUUCAAUUAUUUCACAAAUCUUACUCAACUCAUAAACCUGGGCAUAUCAAUACCUUAUCUCAGCCAACCUUAUUACAAAACUAACAAAAUUUAUCCAUAUCUUACAAUAAAGAUAGAUAUACACAGCGUACCAUGCAUGAUAGACCACGCCACAAGGGCCACACAGAAUACACCAUAAAGGCAUCAUACAAAAUCUCGUGUUUACUAUCCCGACGGACUUCACAGAAGGUGUCAUGGGUUUCUACCUUAUGGACUUAUAUAGAGAUUCAUGUACCGUAAUCUUCCAUUUCAAUUCAUACAUCAUUGAGGGCUACACCAUGAAUAUUCAAACAGACAUAUAAUGCCAUGGGUCUUAACCACAUGGUCUUAGAUACAUUCAUGUGUCAUGUUUUGACAAUAUAGUCUCCAUCUUACUGGAGGUUAUAGCAUGAAAGUUUCCAAAUCAUAGCAAGCUACCAUGGGCCUCUACCUCAUGGUCUUACACUAGGUUUCAAUCUAUAACAUGCCAAUCUGGUUAGCUAUAUAACUGCCCUACCAGAGGAUUCACAAUAGAACGUUAGCUCAGUAUUUACUUACCCAGAUAAUCACCUUCUUACAAACUCAUACACCUCCUAUACCAGACUUUUACUUGCAUGCUUAUUAAAUAGUAAUCCUUUAAUAAAACUUUAUGCAUAUUAUUACAGAGCAUCUCUCAUCCUUACUAUACCCAGAGCCUUACCAUUUUCCAUGGACAUGAUUAUCCCAUCUAUGAAUGUGCAUAUAUUUAUACUUCUUAUUUGAACAAUUCACAUAAUAGAGUCAAGAUAGUGACUCACCUUAACUCACCUACUACAGUUCUAAGCUCCAGACUUAUACAUCCCUUUUGAAUCAGAAGUAACAACUACUUAGAAACAUAAAUUUACUAUUACAACUCUUAUACAUACAAUUUACUUAUCAUCUCAAUCGCGGAUAACUUCAUGCAUAACUUGUAUUUAAAGCUUUACUGUUCAUACAACUCUUAUAGUCUUACACUUUUAGAACUUAACAUGCAAAGGCAAAACACUUACCCAAAGAUGGAAUAACCACUAAUUAGAUCUAGAAUCAAUGUUUCUAGCUAAAUGAGAAAGGGAUACAUUUAUACUUUCUAACGAAAGAAUUAGAGAGUAGUGUUUUUAAGGAAGAAGAAGAACCUCCCUCAAAACCCUUCUCACACAUAUAAAUAUGACCCACUUACCUAGUUGGACUUAACAACUGCCACACAUUUUAGAACUUACCUUAUUAAUGGUCUACAGUUCCCGAGAAAAUUAUAAAUAAGUACCUUGUAUUCACAAUUAUCGGGCUAGGCUAUCUAGUUGAUAUCUAACCAAAAUACUUAUGAUCUAACUAGUACAGUACUCUAAACAAACAACAUGUAUUACAGCUUUGGCGCCAACUCAUACCAUACUUAACCUUUAUCGCCUAACACAAACUUCUCCGUAAUAUAUUAGAGUAGCAUGAAACAAAAUCCUUACCUACAUAUCUGGCAGUUACUAAACGCCCGCAUGUAUAUGCCACAAUAAGAAAUUGGGAAGAUUACACUUCGCCAUAUAGACUAUUUUACUACUAUGCGCCAAAACCUUAGACCCACCAGACUUAGGGUGUUAUAACCAAAUUUGUAGACCAUGAUAUGAAAACAAGUGUAAGACCAUGAGGUUGAGACCCAUGGCAUCAUAGGAUAUGAAAACACUCAUGGUGUAUCCUCUAGUAAAACGAAGACUGAACUAGAAGAUCAUGAUACAUGAAAGUGUGUAAAUUCAUGUGGCUAAGACCCAUGGCAAGUAAGAUUGUAUGAAUGUUCAUGGUGUAGCCUUUGAUAAUGUGUAGAUCAAACUGGCAGAUCACGAUACAUGAAAUUUAUGUGCAAGUCCAUAAAAGAGAAACUCAUGGCACCUUUUGGGAAAAAUUAGUCGGAAUAUUAAACAUGUGAUUUUGUAUGUUGCCCUUGUGGUGUAUUUUGUUUGGCCCUCGUGGCGUAUUCUACUAAGUUCGUAUGGUAGAAUAUGAUUAUCCACCCUUAUGGUAUGUUUUGGAUAAAUUCUGAGUGUUCUGUGAUAGAUGUUACUAUGAUAAGGUUAUGAUUCGUCCGAAGUUAAUUUGGUUGAAUUAGAUCUGUGAUGUAACCAAAUAAGUUUCUAAGGAAGUUCUUGAAAAUAAGUGUGUAUCUUUAUGUUCAAAAAAGGGUAUCCACCAUGGUAAUUUGUUAGUUUUGAAUAUGGGUGUAUUUGUGGUUAUGAAAGACAUUAGAAAUUAUCAAUUUGAGUUCGACUGUGUUAUAUAGUGCUGAAAUUUGAGUAUCUGGUAUCCGCCAUAUCUGAAGAAUAAUAUGUCUUAAUCUGAAAUCUUAUGGAAUCUGAGUUGUUUGUUACCUUGGGUAGAUUUGUGUUCUGUAACGAUCUGGAUAAUUCAUUAUCAGUAUAAGCAUGCAUUAAGGUUGAAUUAGAAAAUGAUUGGAUUUGGUAAAUUGAUGGAAUCCAACUCAUCGUGGGAAUCUAUCAAAGGUGUAAGAAUCUACCAGUAAACAGUAUCUGUGACCAGCAGUUCUGGAAUCAGUGUAUGUGUGAAGAGACGGUCUAUAUAAAAUAGGCUCUGAAGGUAUAUUCUUUUAAAAAGUACUUUUGUGUUUUUUAAGAGAAAGAAGAGAUUAAUGAAAUGUCUGGAAGAAUCUCAAGUCAAUCAGGUAAUUAAGAGAGAACUGGUACACUAAGAGUAUGGUAGUUAGCGUGUAAGUCUAAGCCUAUAAUUGUGAAAGCAUUUGCCGAAAAUAGAAGUAAGAUGUUGAGAAUGGUAGCUGGCACAUAGAUAUUCAUUCGAUAUUAUAAAAGUAUCCACCAAGGUAUUCUAUAUUAACUAUCACUAAGUUCUCCUAAAUUUACAAAUGUUAUAUUUAUGUUUUAGGUAGUGUGGUAACGGAAUACGCCGGGAGUGACGACACCAGGAGUGUGCCAAGGUAACGACAAUAUGGACUAUUAAACAUACAAUGGACUAUUUGUAAAUGGGACAUAUUACAGAAUUACACCCUAGGAAACUAUCUUUAGUAAACUUUGUUUUGUUAAUGUGUUGUAACAAAUUUGAUGUAAUAUGUUAUUUCUAAAUACUAUCUUUUGUUUCUUUGAUUUUGAGUCUUUAAAUAAAAUUAUAAGAAUUACAUUUUUAAAUAAGGAGUACUCACCAAUUGUUUGAAAUUUAGCUAAGUGAUUUGUGUUGUAACACCCAAGAUCAGGACUUGGUAAUUUGGGUCGGGUUGAGGGCAUUAUAGUUACUCUAGUAGGAUUCUAGUGCUUCUUCAUCUUCUCUGGUAAUGCAAACACUCUCCCAUUAUUAAAUGCCUAAAUUCAGAUCAUGUCUCACCGAAAGCCAUUCUAUAACCUCCUGUUUAGGUUAGGGGGUUAUUAUUAUAUCCCUCCACCAUGAAGACACAUGUCAGUGCCAGAAACAUCAUUAACUCUCUUAUUGACUUUGAUUGAAGAUAAUCCUCACCUGACCAUCCAUCUAUUCCUUAAGGAAUCUGACCACACUUUCCCAAUGUGAACACAGUUUCAAGACAAUAAAGAGUCUAUUUAGGCAUAACAAUCUCGUACUAAUAGAGUCCCAUGAUAUACGACUAUCAUCCUUUACGCUUUUAGCGAGGCUAAAUGUAUAUCCUACCACGUCAUAGUAAUAGAAAAGAGGAUCUCUCCAAUAAAUACCUUGAAAAACGAGAAAGAAAUGAUCGACCCCUGACACCCUAAAGUUACUUUGAGCAAUUAUUUUCUCAGUCAACCUGUCUUCAUCCCAGAUCUAACUCUCGACCUCCUCUGCAGCACCACGAUCCCCUCCUUAACCUUCUCCCUUACUGUACAUUGUAUAAAUAAGAUAUUUAUAUUCAACUACAUGUUUGGCAGGCUAGUUGAUUUCUAGAUAAUAUUUAAACAUAUUAUAUCCAAGUUGCAUUCGUUUUAUUCUAUUGAAAGUUCACUGUUUGUUUUUAUAUGGUAUUGAUUAACAUUACAUUUAAAAAAAAUUAACUAACCCAAUUUAUUUUGAAUUUAAUAAAAACAAUUCAUAAAAUAAUAAUACAUAAGUUUUAAUUAAUGCUGAUAAAAACCGUCAACACAUCAAAUUAAUUGAAUCCUGGGUCUCUGCAUAUUUUAUCAUUCACUCUAUAUAUUUAAGUAAGCAUUAUUGAAAACAAGAAAAUAAAUAAAUAAGUAGAAGACAAACUGAUACAAUAUUUGAACUCACCAAUUUGCGAUUUACUAAGAACUUCUGGGAUGCUUAUUUUGACUAGUACCAAUUCAAUGAAAAUUAAUAACAAUGUUGGAUAUAAAUCCAAUUAAAAAAUGAGAAUAAUAAUUUUUUACGCUUCAAGUUCAGUGUAUAAAUAGCAUCCUAGUUCUCUAUCAUCUCACACCUCAACCACUCAAUCAUCCACUUCUUCUCUUCUUUGAACUCAAAGUCCCAGUUAAUAUUAGAAUCAUGGGUGUUGUCACUUAUGACUAUGAGUCUACCUCCCCAGUCGCCCCUUCCAGGCUUUUCAAGGCCUUUACUGUUGAAGCUCCGAAAGUUUGGCCCACGGCUGCACCUAAUGCAGUCAAGAGUAUUGAGGUUGAAGCUAAUCCUAGCUCUGGAAGUAUCGUAAAAAUCAACUUUGUUGAAGGUUAGUUCUUUCAUUGGCCUUUUUGUAGUCUGUUUUACACGAGUAUGUUGGAUAACAAGUAUUUAUUUGUUUAGGCCUUCCAUUCCAAUAUAUGAAGCACCAGAUAGGAGGACAUGAUGAAAGUAAUUUUUCAUACAGUUACGAUUUAAUCGAAGGUGGGCCUUUGGGGGACAAACUUGAAAAAAUCAGCUAUGAGAACAAGUUUGAGGCAGCUGCAGGUGGAGGAAGUAUUUGCAAGAGCUCAAUGAAAUUCUACACUGUUGGCGACAAUGUAAUCACUGAAGAUGAAAUCAAGGCUCUCAUUAAGGGAAGUGAGGGAGUUUACAAGCCUGUUGAAGCUUAUCUAUUGGCUAAUCCUGAAUCCUGCAACUAGGAUAUUGGUUGCUUUGAAUUCUGAUUCUUGGUUUUAAAGAGUGGUCAUUGCUUUUAAUGGUGUGUUUUUUAUAUUUUCUUUUUCCUUUUAAAACCUAAAUUGUCUUCUAAUUAUUUACAUAAGAGUGGUGGUGAUCGAGCUUUUGUCAUCUUUAUUUUCAUUACAGUCAAAGAAUUUGGGUUGUCUUUGACAUAUAUAGAAAUAAAAUAAACAAAUAAACUCAAAAAAAGAAAAAAAAAGGUUUUACCUGGUAUAUUGAUGAGUGAAAAUUCACAAUCCAUAUUAGAGAUGUGCAUUCGGUGGUUGGAACGAUUUGAUUAUUUUAUAACAAUAAUCGAAUAAAUAAAAAUUUUUACUGCAAUUGAAUUAAUCGAACCAAACUUAAAAAGGUAAAAAUGAAACAACCGAACUGAAUUUAGUCAAUUCGAUUAGAUUUAGUUAAUCGAUUUUUGCUUUUUUUGGUUUUUAACUUAGUUGAACUCCACCGAUCCAAAAAUUCUUCACUGUUCGUGUCGGCAUGUUUGUUCCUCACAGAAUGGGAGCAAACAGUAGCCGCCUUACCUUUUGCUAUAAAAAGGAUUUUAGUCUUUGCUUUCAAAAUCAUCCCAAUCUCUCCAAGAAAGUGUGUAAUCUUUAUUUGUUUAGGCCUUCCAUUCUAAUAUAUGAAGCACCAGAUCGAAGGACAUGACGAAAAUAAUUUUUCAUAUAAUUACAGUUUAAUACAAGGUGGGCCUUUGGGGGACAAGCUUGAAAAAAUUAACUAUGAUAACAAAUUUGAGGCAGCUGCAGGUAGAGGAAGUAUUUGCAAGAGCUCGAUGAAAUUUUACACUGUUAGGGACAGUGUAAUCACUGAAGAUGAAAUCAAGGCUCUCAUUAAAGGAAGUGAAGGAGUUUACAAGCCUGUUGAAGCUUUACCUCUUGGCUAAUCCCAAAGCUUGCAACUAGGAUAUUGGUUGCUUUGAAUUCUCAUGCUUGCUUUUAAAGAGGGAUCAGAUUUUAACUGUGUGCUUUUGAUAUUUUCUUCUUUGUCUUAAAACCUAUAUUGUCUUCCGAUUGUUGUAAUAAGAGUGGUGGUGGUGGAAUCAAGCUUUGAUAAUCUUUGACAUAUGAAAUAAACAAAAAUAUAAACUGGCAAAAAUAAUAAAAGCUUUACUUGGG